UGGUUCAACAUGGAGGACUUUGGAGGGAAGAGGAGCUGCUCUCAAACAAAGACCUCUUACCAUGGUAGGGUGAAAUCUUUUGUUCAGGUUACCAAAAAACAUGUAAAUGUCAUAUACUACUAAACAUAUACCAAUAAAUAAACCCGCUUGUGUGUCUGAUGCAGAGCAGCAAAAGUAGGCCUACCAUUUAUCCUACCUCAACAUGUGCUAGCCACCAAAAGUGCUACUCAGAAAUUCUGCAAAUACAUUCAACCUUGUGUUGUCAUAUGACUGUACAAGCAAUUCAGUGUGAAAGAGGCUCUUUCUGGUUCACAAUUAUGUGGGUUUGAAGUUAAAUGACACAAAUUAAAAACCAAGAAAACGUAAAGAAACUUUGGGGGUUUGCACCAGCAGGGUAGCAGAAGUUACCACAACACCAGUAGUAUUUAAGUUAAGUUUCCUUCCACAUUCCAUCAAUUCAUAAGCUCAACUGCUGGUGUUUUACUCCCAGAAAGUCACUUUUUUUCUUAACCAGCGCUUUAAUUUUGUAUGAGAAAGAAGGUUAAAGUUCGAGCUCAGUGUUCUGACAGCAGAAAGUUUCCCCGUUGUUUGCAUUCUUCAUGCAAAGUUUUUACCUUACCAAAGACUAAUGUAGUAAAAGGCAAAAGUACACAGAUUAAAAUGUAGGACAAGUUUUAGUUUACUGCAACAGUGACAGAUCUGACCGUGUGUGAUGACUGACUGAAAUUAACAAAUGAGUUUACUCAUGCAACACUGACAUCAACUUCAACAUAGAUAUUUGUGCAAAUGUCCUCUGUGGCUUUAAAAUGCUAUACUUAGAUAUUUUCUAAUAAGUGAAGCAUAUUGAUGAUUCUUCACCCUGACUUCAACACUGAGCAGAAACCUCUCUGACGUAUCAGCUGUUCCCACUCGGAUGGGAACUCUGAAGCAGAACCAGUCGUGAUGGAAAAACCACCUCUGAGGGGCUCGUGUUUUCAUUCACCGUGUGGAAACUGUGCACAAUUCAAGGAAGCUCCAUCUCCUCGAAGCCCCAUUGUCUGAAGUGGCACUCGGCCCAAAGUGUCUCUGCUAUUUCCCUCCUUUCAACCAUAGCUGUGACCGAAUCACCUGGCCGGCCAGCUCCAGGUUCACCCAGUCGUAACCUCUCUACCGCCUGUGUCCUUACUUUACUUAAAUGUGUCAGGAGCUCCUUUCUUUACAGCCUCUACUAUCACAGGAACUCAGGUCAUUUUUGGUAGUAAUUCUCUGAGGAUUAAACCUUUUCUUUUCUUAAAGACAGGAUCUGAAACACCGUGUAGCUCUGGGUGGGGUCUUCCUGUAAUGUUUUGUCCUUGUUGGAAUUUGCAUGUGAUUCGUUCAGACUUGAUUUUGCAUUGUGCUGCAGUUUAACACAGGAAUUUGCAUUGUGAUUCAUUUCUCAAUGGAAUUUGCAUCACUUUCAUGUUCACUCCAACUUCCACGCUGGUAUGCUUUUUGGAGUGGUCCUUGUUUUGCCUCUUCCUGAAGAAACAGAGCAGGGAUAUUGAAGUGUUGAUUUUUCUGCGGUUUGCCUCACUUACGCCCCACGGUGAUGAAUGUCUGUGGUUCUCCCAGUGGAGGCAGAUGAUACAGAUGUGAAGCAGAGAAGUGACAGGCCUGGAUGACAGACAGGAGCAGCAUUAUCUGCCUUUAAGUGUCCUCAACUGAGUCCAUACAAACAGUCAGCUGUUUAAGACAUGGACAUCUUCAUGGCAGUGGGUCAAAGAAAUUAAGAUUUAUUGGGUUUUGGUCCUGAUGACUCCUCUCACUUCACUUUUGUCUCAUAACAAAGGGGUAAAGAUGUCAAAUAAAGCAGUUGAUCACAUCACAAAAAUGUUCCUGUCAUGUAGUCCAAAUGAGUGUGUCCAGUCCUGGCUGGGGGGACUUUGGUACUGACUUAUGUAGAGGCGUAAUCAAGUUCUGUAUUCUCCAACAAACUAUCAUACAGUUACCAUAGAUUUGAGAAGAUGGAUCACAGACAGCUUGAGCAUGAUUUUCAUCUUGUAGUUUUGAAGUAAUCUGCGGAUCUUUAGGAAAUUGCGCAGUUGCUGUUGUUUCUGUGUGAAGUUGGAUUAGGUUAGGUGAAGCCAGAUGUGUUUGUGACAAUAGCCUGCUAUGUUCUGCAGUUGGUUUCUUAAUACCACCAAAAUUUUUUUUGUGUGGUUACCUCCCCGAUGACCCCAGAAUCUGGGUUUCUCUGUGUGUACAGUUUAGUUAGUCUUGAUCGGUUCUUAAUUUGUACAAAUGUGUGGAUUUGGAUUCACAAACAGAUUCAUACCCAGUGUAUAAGAAUUUUGCAAACAAUGCACACAUAUUCCAAAUGCAAGUUGUGUGCAUGGUUAACGAAUCUGUGCAAGGGGGGUUUACAAAACCUCCAAAUCCAGUCCCAGUGUGCACUGAGUCACUUUGUACAUGGUUCAGAACACGGCUCCUUUGUUUUCUUGACCUGGCAACUGGUUCAUGGGGGUUUCCACACAAAUAAGAAACAUUGAGGGAAAGGGGCUAUUCCACCCAAGGGUGCUCUCUGGACACGCCCCUGGAUGGAUGGCAUUUAGUAGAGUAGAUCAUUUCAGAUAUUACCUUCUACAUGUGUGGGUGACUGUUUAUUUGUUUGGUCAGAUACUUCUGUCUUAUAAAUUUGGAGCUUUAUCUGUGCAGCUCUUGAGGUCCAAGACAAAUUUUCCGAAGGGGACAGUAAAGUGUAUCCUAUCAUAUAGUAUCGUAACAUAUUGUAUCAUAUUGUAUCUAAUCCUAUCAUAUCAUAUCGUAUAACAUAUAAUCGUAUUGUCGUAUCCUAUCUAUCAUGUCUUAUUGUAUCUAAUCAUAUCGUAUCAUAUUGUAUCUAAUCGUAUCUUAUUGUAUCGUAUUGUAACUAAUCCUAUUGUAUCAUUGUAUCGUAUCGUAUCGUAUCUCUCUAUCGUAUCAUAUUAUAUCUAAUCUUAUCGUACCAUAUCAUAUUCUAUUUAAUCGUAGUAUCGUAUUGUAUCUAAUUAUAUCGUAUCAUAUCAUUGUAUCGUAUCGCAUCUAAUCGUAAUGUAUCGCCCUAUUGUUUCAUAUUGUAUCGAAUCGUAUCAUAUUAUAUUGUAUCUAAUCGUACUGUUUUGUCGUAUGAUCUGAUACAAUAUCUGACCAUAUUGUGUCAGAUCGUCCUAUCGUAUCAUACCGUAUCGUAUCAUAUCUAACCAUGUUGUAUCCUAUCGUCCUAUGGUAUCGUAUUCUAUCGUACUGUAUCGUACCGUCGUAUUGUAUCAUCUCGUAUCAUAUCAUAUUGUUGUAUUGCAUGGUAAUGUAUCGUAUACACUUUUUCUCGGUGUUUAGACCUUAUUACGGGAUUUGUUAGAAUCUAAAAACAAACUCAGACAACUAGAAAGUCAUUCUCACAACACGCUCUUCGUGUGGUAACAUCUGUGUCAGAGCAGCUUUAUAGGGACUUUUUACCUCUGCCUCACAUCGUCAAACUUUACCCAACUUGCAGCCAAAAAAAAAAGUUAAAGUUGAAGAGCUUCAAUCUUAGCCAAGUCUGGCCCUCAGGAUCAUAGAUCAUAGCCAUAAAUGAACAAAUAUGGGGCAGCAUCUGUGCAAACUGUAUCCAAUGUGUAAAGAGUGAGUCAGAGUCACACGCAGAGAGCAGGGAGAUUAAAUCAAGAUGAGAUUUUGUUUGCUGCUCGGAAUUUCCACAGCCUUUAGCUACAGUGACAAAGAGCGGAGACGCCACAUGAGAAAUGGAGACUUUUUACAGCCGACUGACGGGUGUGAUGCCAUCCUGUAUCUGUUUAGGCUUUUAUUCUUUGGGACAGACUUUUUUAAAAAAGAAGCAUUUAUAAUAUCGGUCAGUCCAUGUUAAUAAAAGAGGACAUUGUGCUUCUUGUGACAAGGACCACUGAGAAAGCCAGUUUAUGUGAGUCAGUGCUGCGGGGCAACAAUCGUCAUAUUUAUUUAGAAAUGAUAGAAAUAGACAAGCUUUGAUUCUUUUUUCAAUCACAGUAGAAGGACAGUUCAGGAAAUGAGGACAAUCCCAAAGAAGCUAGAGAGAUAGAAAAACCUGAAAAAACAGAACAAACAAUACAGAGAUAAAUAGUCAGAGCACCCUGACAACAAACCUUCAACACCAGAAGUGAAAUAUUCCUACUUAUUUCAGGCAUAUAGAGAGAUAAAGUACUGUGAUAAGACCAGAACAGAGAGGUCCAGAUAGACAAAUAAUAAUAAUACAGGAAGGAGAAACUCAAAGCUCUUUCAAACUCAGUAUCUACGGGAAGUACCUGGAGCUUAAAGUCCAGGACCCAGACUUAAAUCCAGCCUGAAUGAUCUGAGAUUACUCCCAGAUUAUGACUAUUAGACAGAGAAGAAGUGGCAUUUUGUCAUUAUUUAGUUGAAGGAAGUUCUUCGUAGUUCAGUAACUAAUCGACAACCUAGUGGAUUUUUUCUCACUUAUUUGGGUUUAGAGUAGAGGAGUAGGUGAGUGUCAUCUGCAUAGAGAUAAUACACGAUGUCAUAGCUCUUAAUAGUCUGUUUUAAGCGCAGCAGGUGAAGAGAAUAGUAGAGGCCCUGGUGCUGAUCCCUGAGGCACACCACAUAACGAUCAAUAAUCAGUGUUUUCCACCAAUAACAUGUGUUUGUUUAUUCCUGCUGGGGUUGUAGGGACUCCAGUCUAGAUAUCAGAGUCAGAAUGGAGCAGGACAAAACUGUAUAUUGGUAUCUUGUUUUCACCUCAGGCAGCAGGCAUCUCAACACAAAAGCUCUAAGUGCCGUUUUUUUGUUCUCAAAGCUGUGAUAACUUACCACCCACAUUCCUGCUGAGAGGGAGGAGGCAGCGAUCAGGAGAGAUUCACCUUUAUGGAAUUUCAUUACAGCGGAGAUCUGCGCGGUAACACGGGCCGUGAUCCAACCGACAGGAGCGAUCAUGUUCAGUGAUACAGUCUGAUGAGCCGUGAGCAUGGGUGGCUUUACUCUCUAUCCUACUUGGACCACAGUGGACGAUUUCAAGCAUCUUUACUGGUUAAAGGGUCAGGUCACCACGAAAAUCCUGACAAUUUCUGGACUUUUCCUCUGACACAGCAGGACAUCAUCUGUGAUAGAUUCAGUCCUCCUAUCACUGCUAUCAUGUGUGUCUUUAUCGUGGUUUAUCCUCCCACUUCUUAAUCCUUACUUUCCUUCUUUUUGAGAUCUUUUCCACCUAAACUUUCUUCACACUCGUCUCUCUGACCUUUCAGCUACCCUCUCAUCUCUCAUUUCCAAAACCCUGUGAUCCAAAGAGCUUUGACGUGAGUUACAACGACCACGUGUAACUUUCUCUAACUCUGACCUCUCUCUCAAAGACUCCACAGAGUGGACUGAGGUGCCAGAUACCUGUUGGUAUGUGGAUCAUAUGGCAUCCAGAUUUUAACUUUCUGCUUCAUACCCAAAAGUCAGGCCAACAGAACGUACUGAUCCAAGCUAUGACAUAACAGUCUUUCUUUCAUUAUAAGGCUGGAAAAUUUGAAUAUGACAAAGGCAGAGCGAGCAAAACUUGACAGUGCACUGAAGCUUGAAUCAGGAAAAGAGUAUUCUGGUUAUCAUGAGAAGAAACAAAAUAGUAGAAAUUAAAUGGGAAUGAACUUAUCCCUCACAACAACUUUUAUGUUCUCUUUAAAGUCCCACUCUGGUCAUUUGUUUUUUACUACUUAAAGUGUCCUCAGUCAUCUUAAAUUGUGAUUAUGAAGUUUUUAGGCAUAAUCUCAUUACCUGUGUCAUUUUCAAGAACUUUUCUUCUGCAGAGUUCCAGUAGAUCAUUAGCAACUCACCUCUGAGUCGUGGGCAGAGACAGCUCUGCUCUGCACACUCAUCUUCACAUUAAGUUUGUGGCCUAACAUUGUCAGUGUAGUAGAAGUAGCAGGUAACAUCGGAACUAUUCAGCUCUCAGACACUAAUGUCUCUAGAGACAUGAUGAAAGUUUAUUUCACAAUCAGCUUUCUUACAAUCGUUGCUUAUGCACAAGCUUGUUCCGCAAUCAUCCUCUCUUCUUUACAGAGUCUGGCCUGCAUUGAGGGGCGGAGCUUGGAAUUGUGAUGUAAGAAAUCUCACUGUUUCUGAACCUGCCAUUUGGGUCUGCCAGAUAUUCAUAGCGAUUUGAAUGCAGAAAUAGUUUUCCCAUUGUAUUGGCAACAUGAAAAACAUGAUUUUCAUCAUGGGUCUUUGAAUUUGUCAUAACUGGAGAGUUGAAAAGGAUAUACGUAUGAAAUCCACUUGUUAUGCUCUUGCAAAUGCAAGAGGAACAAACUUCUUUCUUUCUUGGCUAAACACGGUGAGAUCUUCGUUACAAGGUGUUUAACAAAGAUCUGGUUGUUUUGCGUAUAAAUACAUAAAUCACAAACUGGAGGAAAGGAAGUAAUUCUAAAAAGUUCUGGGCUAGCACUGGUUCUGGUCCAUUGGAGAAGAUUUUGGUAGGGUUUGGAUAAAACCAGUAGGAGUCACUCUUCUCUGUGGACAUGUGCUCUAAUAAUCAGAGCUUGGGGACUAAAUAGGCUCUUAAAGUCUGCAGGAAGACUUUGAGGGUUUAUAGUCUGCUGCCUGACACAGUGGAAGCACCUGUUGAACAAAUGUCCAACAGAUUUCCAUCUUUUUACGGCUCUGACUAUAAUCCUGCCUGCCCUGCCAACAUUUUUUCUCCCUGAUUUUGGACUUUCUGUGUCCAGUUUGAGAGUACAGAAAUAUUUUCACAACUCAUGUUUCAAAAAAUGAAAAUCAAACACCUGUGGAGCCAGUUAAAGAGCAAAAAUAACUAAACUUCUGCUCAGAAGUGUUCAUUGUUAGUUGACAUUAAUUAAUAAGUCUGCACCCUUGAUCGAGGAAUCCAAACUACGCUGGUUGCCAGGAAGCUGAUGUUGCCACAGCGGCCGAGACAGGCUCAGACAUCUUGAUUGUGUUUACGUCUUGAGGAGUAGAUUAGCGGUUUGAGAACAUUCAGUCACUGAGGGAUGUUUGAUUCCUGCACUGCAGCCAUCUUCCUGUCAAUAUAAUUCCAGAAAUACCGAGAGCAAUUCGGCUCCAAAUUCGUAUAACGACGGAAGGCAGAGCCAAGUUGUCCACAGUAUAUACAGCCUAUGAUUAGGACUGAUAUGCCCAAAUAAUGUGAGUGGGGAUCCAUUUUUUUAUUGGAGCACUGCUACACUCCACUCUGAUGGAUGCAGAGUGUCCCCUGUUAUUUGUUCUGUAAUGUCAUGACAUUGAUAGAUUGAUGGUACGACCACGACAGACUGAAAAAGAAACAUUACGGAGGAAUAGCGGACAGUUUAAAGCAUCCAGGUGUCAUCUAGCUCCUCCUUUCAACUACACUGGGAAACUUAUUGUGACCGGACGAGUACCAACCUGUGGAUAGUUGUGCAUAUCAGUAAAGUCACUACACGAUUUAUUUAUUUAUUCAUUUGGCUCUGUAUACACCAAAUCUGACACAUCCUGAUGGACCGCAAGAUCUUGUGUUGCUGCCUCAGUAUCACGGGCCAAAGAAAGAAUCAUGGUUUAAGGCCAUUCAGUAUAGACUUUGUUUAAGAAGCAAGCAGGAAAAAAAAUUCUGAAGUACAUUUCAAGCUCCCUGAUCAAUAGUUUUCUGUCUGAAACUAUACUUGUGUACUCGCCUGUCAUGCACUCACAUGUUUAGAGCUCUGUAAACACAUGUUUUUGCCGUGUAAAUGAACCCUAAGAAUGAAAAAGAAAAAAACGAGACAGCAUAUUCUAAUGCAAUAUUUGUUUGACUUUAAGCUUGAUGAUGCCUGUUAAAGCGACAGAGGAGAUAACAGAUUUUUAUUGAAGCAUAUUUACCUGAAGCUUUAUGCUUUUGUUGGUGUUUUAUCGACUGCUCCGUCCACAUUGACUUUGUGUUUCAGGGUUUUGUUUACAUUUCAUGGGUCUCACAGAUGGCAGUAUUUGUUUAAGUCUGACAUGUUGGAGCUGCUGCAGACAGAUUCUUCACAGUCUUUUUUAAUACUAUAGAAAUAAAGUGAUUAAGUUGGUCUCGGCAGAGUUGAUAAUCGCAGAAAUGGCAUGCUUGCAGCAAAAACAAAUAGGGCACAUCAUCAGACAUGCUGCAGUAAGUUUAAUUAUUACCACCAGCAUUUGUAAAAACAUGUUUUAGCACACAUACAUGCUCUCUAAUUCUGUUUUUUCAUGAAUAGCACUCCAAAUGUGGAAACCUUUCACCCGACUGUGACGGCUUUGUCCUGCCUGCUAACGCUGUAGCCAAACUUUUCAUUAGUAGUUUCCUUUUCCUCCUAUUGUUAACCACAUUUGUGCUUUUUUGAAUGCUGUAGAUAAAAGCUGCAGCUGAAUUCUCACAGAGGUAAUAAGAGCAAGGUUGUGACGUAAAGUAAAGAGUAUGAUUUAACGAUGUUGGUACUUGGAUCUCAGGAUUGAUUCAAAGUUUUUGGUUCUGGGACAUUUGAUUCUUUUUCAGCAACAGUUGUUUCAGCUGAAGUGAUAAAUACUUGUGGGUUUUUUAGCUCAUUUUUUAUCCACUCUUGUUAUAAAGGGAGUAGAAACUGGCCUUGAAUGCAUCAUUACUCUCUGUGCGUGACUCAUCCAAACCGUUUACACAUUCAGUGUCCCUAUUUUCCCCUAAUAGGACUUUUCCAAAGAAACCCUGUAAGCCUUGCAUUGUUCUGAGUGUCUCUCUUUAGGGCUUCAAUUUUCCCCCUGUGCACCUUUACUGUUUUAUUAUAAUGGACCAUUUGUAAACUGACAGUAAAGGGAAAGACUGUGUGAUGUCACUUUAGAUUCGCAAGGACAGAAAACAAAGAUAUAGACGAUCAAUUAUUCCACAUAUAAAAAAAAUUCAAGCAUGAAAAUAAUAGUGUGAUACUCAUUUCAACAAAGCAGCAGGGUCGGUGUUUUGGAGUUAUCAAUAAAGUACACGGCGUGGAAAUCGGUGAAGAAAUGAGCAAGAGAUUUAAUUUACAUGUACGUCUAAUAUCUUUGAUGGGAACGUAGCCCUCACCAAGAUAGAUGCCAUGUAGGCAAGUCACCAAGUGGGCUGCAACAGUGCGCUAACGUAUCUAGUCAUAUAUAUUUGUGCUAACAAGAGCCUCUCGCUCAGUCGCUCCAAGUCACAACUUGCGGGUCACAACAGACAAGUGAAUGAAACUUGAAGUACAAGGUAUCAAUGCAUGUAUUUUUUAUCUUCGAUUUCCAUUUGAAGCCACGUCACAGAAAGUCAAAUACUGAGUUGUUUUUUUGUUCUCUGAUUUUUAUGAUCAAAUUGAAAAACAGAAAACAGUUUGUUUUCCGUUUUUCAAUUUCCUACUGAUCAUUGGGAGACGGCUCGUUUUGAAAUUUUCAUUUUUUCAUAAAAAAGUGAAAACCUGUUGGCCGCUAAGUAGUUUUUUACAAACUUGUUUUAUGCUUAUCAGGGUCACAAUUUGGCCAAUCAUAAGCCAUAUAAGAGGAUAAGACGACAUGACCACACCUUGAAAGUGAAGCCAGAACAUUUGGAGCUCCCUCUACUGGCAGGUGGCAGCUUUCUUCAUAUUUAAUAACAGCUGAGCCACAAAAGCACAUCAAAUUAAUUUCACCUGAAUAUUUAACUCUUUGAUGUUAAUCGAGGGGAUGUGGUUAACUGAUAUUAGUUUUUUUUUAAUGGCUGAUGCCGACAGUGAGAGAAAACUGUGGUUGCAUUUGCCAAACACAUAAGAAAGUCUGUUGUCUGAGAGAAGCUUGAACAAUCAGAGGUUCAUUCUUUCCCAUCGAGCUUAAUGACCACUGAGAAGUAUUUGGCUUCAGCGCUCAAGGUCAGCAAAGAUUGUUGUCUGAGAAAGUCUGGCUGAGGCUCCUGAGUCUGCGGUCGUCAGCUCUCCAACAUCUUAUCAGAUAACUAUGCAUCUGAUUCCUGCUACGGUGUAAUUUCACAUUUUGAAAACAUUAGAUACAUGUGGUGAGUUUAAGCCUCACUCUAACAGUGUGUUAUUGUGUAUCAUGGUACUUAUUGCAGCUGUUGUAGUAUUUGUAUGUUUUUGUGGCCACAAGUUAUUUCAGGUGAACAUUAAUUUCCUUUUGAGACAUGCAGCAGACAAAGAGCAACAUUAGUCACUUCUUGGGUUAGCAUUCCUGUGAUUAUCUCCAGGAAAUCUGCUGUAGUCACUUAAUGCUUGUUGAUGAAAUUAUGUGGCUCUAAAGAAACAGACUUUUAUUUUUUAAAUUAUAAACAUAAAAUUUAACAAUAAAGCACAUAAUGCUCACCAUUGUCUCUAUUUAGUCAUCAAUAAUUAGCAGGUAAACGAGCAUUUGUCAUCACCUUUUUUGACACUGGUAUCAUCAAAGCAUAGAUCCAGUGUUGCCAACCCAGCUUUAGCAACUUUUCAGACCCCCCUAGCAACUUAUUUUUCAAAAAGCACCUAGCAACAAAUCUAGCGACUUUUUCUGGAGUUUAGAGACUCUAACAUGAAAGCAGGUAUCAAUGUUAAUCUUCUCAACGGGUAGACGGUGUGCACCCCGGACAGUGGCGGUCAGUGGCAGUGGUAGGUUUGACUGAGGAAAUUAUGCAAAUUAGGCAAUGAUGUCACCUAGCGACUUUAAUGACAGCCACUAGCAACUUUCCUUACUGAGGAGUUAGCAACACUGCGUAGAUCAUAUUUUUAAAACCAAAAACUCUGCACACCCUGAAAAGACCCACAUUAUGUUUACUACUAAAAAAAGUUAACUGUUUUUUUUUGGGAUAGAAUAAAUAGUAAAGAGUAAGAAGCACUUGUGCCUGAGCAGGUGCAUCAUGGGAGUGAAGUAACGAGAGAUGGAAAUCAAACUGUACACACAUCUAUACACACACGCACACACACACACACACAGUUUUUAGAGGAGGCCAAAUCAGACGUUUACGAUCAGUGAUAAGAGCCGUCCUGAGUGUGUGAGGGAGGAUACCCGUAUAUUUGUGUGUGUGCGUGUGUGUGUGUGUGUUGGAUUUGUCUCCUGUUACAUCUGGUUUUAAUGAGGGGAUUCCACCGCUGUGCCAGGCAGAGCAGAAGAGAGCAAGAACACGCACACACACACAAACACACACACACACACACACACACACACACACACACACACACACACACACACAGAAGAGACUCUUAACUCAUGACAUGGAACAGCGCUCUUAUUCUGAAGAGGUGCACAGUGUGUGUGUGUGUGUGUGUGUGUGUGUGUGUGUGUGUGUGUGUGUGUGAGGAGGAGAGGGGGGUUACGCUGACAUACCGCUGUCUCUCCUAAACUAACACAGAUUAACUUACUGACCCUCCUCUAUAUACAAUCUUGACCUUUUUGACAUCAUUGAAGAAGAAUUACCACCUCAUUAUUGUGCACCUCUGUCAACCUCCAUCAGUUUGCAGUGAACUUCUAUCUCUGUUUCCUUACAGUCAACCGUGGUGAUAGGGGGGAUAUACAGUACACAUGUAGUAUAUAGUAUUACCAAUAAUAAAGUCUUAAAGCCUGGAAGUUUCACUAGAUUAUGUCAUAUGUCAUACUCCCAAAGACCCAACAUCAACAUGGGAUAAGAUUGAGCCCCAUCUUGUAAAAUCAAACCAACUUAACAAGCUACAGUUGAGAGGGAAAACUUUAACAGGAAGAAAACUUGAGCAGAACCAGACUCAUCUGCAAAUUGGGGUGGUGCUGGUCUAGUGGUCUACGCACAUGCUCCAUUCGAAGAGAUUAUGUCGGCUUGGGGUCAACGACUGAAUCACGGCAACUGCAGUGGCAUGGAUUAACAGCACUUUAAGACAGAUGUAGAGAUGUUGCUGCAGGACGAAUCAUUCUUCAUGGCUAAUACUCUGUUUCCAGAGCUCAGCUAGAAGUACUGCAAACCACAAGGCUAACAGAAAGUUGUAGCUAACUCAAGCCGAAUGUUGUAUCAGUGGGUUUAGCAUAGCUAGCUGUUGAUAUUUCAUUAUAAAACUUGUGUUGAUUUAGGUGUUAUCAUGUUGUGCCUUUGCACAGCAGUGUGGCUCACAUGUACCCUCCACUCUUUCAUUAGAAGUUCAGAGCUUUGAUUUUUCUUCUGCAUGUUUUCUGUGUUUGCACAUGUCUCGUGUGAAAUCAGCUGUCUUGUCUUUUAUUUUAUUUUUUUUUAAUUACCAUUUUGAUAUAUUUAGGGUGACUAUACAUCCUUCUUUACCUGGACAUGUCCUCUUUUUUGGGGGGCUGUCAAGCCUUGUUUGGGGGGCGUUUAUAAAAUCCUUCAAAUGUCCGGGGUUUUGUAUGAAAGUUUUGAGUUUGUGUAGCGCGGACUAACUGAGUUGGAGGUGCGUAAAAAACACUUCACCCGACCUGAAAAACCCUCAAAAUUUGCUAUGCGCGACUCUGCUCCCUGAAGUCGUGUCCUCUUUUUGGGGAUUCAGAAUAUGGUCACCCUAGAUUUAUUUGCAGCACAUUUUUGCUGUUGCAUUUGUUUUGGACUUUUGCACCUGUUUGUGAAUUUGUAUCGUCUUCCUCAGCCUGUCAGCUAGCACAAAUAAAAGGGUUUAGAUGGUGAUUUCUCUCAGAAGGUUAGUCUAAGAGUAGUUUUGGUACUAAGUAUGCGGAUGAUUUCAGAGAUUUGCACAACACCCUGUAAGCGCUCAAUCACAUUUGAAACCUGUCAAAUUAUUUCCUUUUUAAAAUCUCAUGCCAAAAUCUCCUCCCUGUGCGUGUUUAUCUGUCUCUGCCAAACAGAGAUUCCCAAAAUGAUGAUUAAGUUUCCAUGGUUACAUACCAUCGUCUACGCAUGAAACAUGUCUCCACUGAAUCUAAUCAGUCACUGGAGUCAGUUUUCCUUUCAGAGGAAACGUUUCAUUCCUCAUUCACACUCCCCUACAUCUACAUUUAAUCCCAUUUUCUCUCCACCCUAUUCAUUCUCAUUAACCUUUCCACACACACUCACUCCUCCUUCCACCACUCAUCAUUGCUCCCAUACAGUAUAAAAUAAAUAAAUGUCCUCUCCUGUACAGCAGCCAGAUAAGAAGUCCUCCCCAGAGUUUUGGCAAGCACCAGGAGCAGAGUUUAAGAGCCUGUAAAUGUCCGAGGCAGGAAUGUGAGGCUGCCUUGUAUGGUCAAGAGAAUUGACUGCUGGAUCUUUUUUUAUACUCAUUUAAGUCUUUCUUUUUUUCUUAGAGGAUCUAGGCCGGCUUUGAUAGUCUCGAACAGAAAGAGGAUGAAGCAGGGAGGAGGAGGAGUAGGUGAAGAUAAAGAGGGUUCCCCACUCUCACAAAUGAGAUGUGGAAGUAUAUCCGCCUUCAUUUUUAUGACAUGAAUACUGUGAUUCAGUUCUCAAGUCUCAAAGAUCAAUCCAAGGACAUGUUUUUUGGUCCUAUCUGGAGUCAGGUCAAAGUGGCAGUCGGUAAUCCAGGCGCCUCUUUCCCCAGCGACAUUCUUCUAGCUCCUCUUGGGGGAUCCUGAAGUGUUCCCAGGCCUGAUGAGAUAUAGGAUUUAGUUCCUUGAGUGUAGCUUUGGUUCAUCCCUGGGAUCUGCACUCAGCUAGAUGUCCCCUGAAAACCUCAGAGGAGAGGCAUCCCAAUCAGAUGCCAUGACCGACUCAACUGGCUUGACAUUACUCAGAGGGACCUCCAGAUGUUCAAGUCCUUACCCUUUAUCCAAGACUGAGCCCAGCUGGUCGCUACUUAAAAGCUAGUGACCAAAGGUGGCGUAGAGUUUAAGCUUUGCACAUUUAUAAGCGAAAGCAAGCCGUGACUCAGCAUUUUUGCUGUCAUUGUGCUUCAUGAGACUUCUUCAGAAACCAAUGGUGACAUCAUGGCUUCAUCGUCGACUGUAAACCCCCCUAUACCACCAGCGAAGAUCACCAUAUUGGUAAUGCUGACUCAACCAGAACCAGGUCUAACGCCUUCUCACAAAUGACUACCUGCCUGUCAUUUCACUGUAAGAUGACGAGUUUCCCUCCUUAAACUGACGUGAUGAGAAGAUGGGAUUAUGGUCAACUGGAGACCUUCAAGUCCACAAAACAAAUGUAGACUGGAAAGAAGACUAUUAUGACCUCUACAGCAGUUCUAAGAGGAAAACACCAGGAGAGGAUCUGCCUUGUUCCUCCUGUAUUAGAAUACCCAAAUCGGGAUCAGGGUAUAGGACCUCUGUUAAAUUUAAGUGAGAGUCAAACACACUGUAACUCAGAGUUAGACAACCCCUCGAGAGAUGAAUGUUGCUGACCGCUUGCUUCUUCAGUUAUACCAACUUUAGUAACGACCACACAAUAGCAAUACACAGCAGUCUACAUCUCCACGCACAAACCUCAACCAAAAAGCCACUCUAUAGCCACAAAUAAUGCUCAGAACAGCACCUAACUUCAUCAACAGGACAAAUAGGGUCCUAGCCACAGUACUAGCCAUCAAAUAUCUUUUUAGCUUUGCCUGAUUUCUUUAGCAAAGAGACCAAACACAACUCACCCACUCUCUUCCAGCAGCCGCUUGUUUGUGGGGGUAGCCCUGACGAGUUGAUCACUGAGUGCAGCGGAGUUUCGCAGCUCAAGAAAGAACAUUUCCAUGAAGUAAUAAUCAUCAUAAUAAUUAUUUUGCACUGCAGACUUGGUAGUUCUUCUGCCUUAGCGUCUCAGUCUGAUUGCAUUUCCAUGAAGUAAUGAUCACUCGGUGAUCGACUCGUCAGGGCUCCCCCACAGACAAGCGGCUGUUCUGAGACUUAUUUGUGGCUUUUUGGUUGAGGUUUGUGUGAGACGUAGGCUACUGUUUAUUGCUAUUGUGUGUUCGUGGCUGAAGUUGGUAUAACUAGAGAAGCAAGCGGUUGGCAACAUUCAUCUCUCGAGGGGUUGUCUAACUCUGUGUUACAGUGUGUUUGACCAUAACUUAAUUUUACACCGGAAUAUCCCUUUUAAAGCUGCUAUGUUGGUUAAGUUACAGGUGAAACUUGUUGGCUACAGAAAUAACACUGAAGUGAAACACAAAAGCAGAAAAACAAAUGGGUGACAGUCUCUGGUUUAGACUCAGAUAAACAGAUUCAAUCAGAAUAAUGUUAGAUACAGACUUCAGUUACAGAAACACCUGCACAGACUUUGACUCUUUCUCGUCUGUUUUCUGAAGCAAAGUCUCCACAUGCUUCUCAGACCCUCCCACAGAUCAGCGAGUAGCUGCUUCUGGUUGGAGGCCAAAGCCUUCAAACCCGGGGUAUGUGCAGUAUGUGUGUGCAGCUCUCUGGGUGGUUAGGAGGGUGUGAUGUUUACAGAUCUGUCCAGGAUCAGCGCUCUCUGACUGUCCUCCCUCUCUGCUUUCACUCCUUUCGUCUCUGUUUCCCCCCUGCAGCACAUAUUCACUCACACUUUAUAGCAAGUACAUCUCCAGACUACAUUUUGAGAGUGUGCUUAAACUGUUACCAUGGAAACCGUCAAUCACAGUUGAACGAAAUAAACACAAACAGGCAACGUGAAGCAUCUAUGACACUGUUAUAACUCAUAAAUACUCAGAAAACACAGAGGAAAAGUGACGCAAAACAAACUUCCUCAUGCUUGUGGAAGUUCCACGAAGGUACAGCGAGAUUUAUUGUCUAACUUGGCCCUUCGUUCACCUUGUGACCCUUCCCCCUUGACCACACCCUUCCUCCUCACAUCAGUUGGUGCCAAAAUCCACACUUGUCCUGUUUGAGUGAGGUAACAUUUCCACGAAGCGCCCUGCGUGGUUACCUCUUGACGGAUUGUUGAAGGAAACUCACUCGGCUACACUCACAAAAAGGAAAGAAAACAAAGUAUUCCCUCAGUCGUCAGUGAUUGGGUUUGAGUUUGGAGGGAAAUGAAGACAGAGAUAAGGUAACACGGCGUGAAUCAAACUCAGGGAGCUCUUAUUACUCCAUACAUAAACACAGACUCCUGAUUAAUAACUGUGUGAGGACGCAUUUCUUUUACGAUAACAUGACGGUUAAAUGAAAGUAUCUCUGAAAUGAUCGGAUUGUUUUACUGUUUAAUCUGUAAGACCACAGUCUGGAUCUCACUUGCUGUUUUUGUUAUUUUUUGAGACUUUGGUUGUUAUCAUUACACACCUUUAGAGCUCAUCUAUACUUUCACUUCAGCAUCAGUAGAUGACACUGCCAAUACAUAUGGAGGCUGAAGUUGACUAUCACUCACAACCACCAGAGGGAUGACAGGUGGAGAGAUACAGUGAUGGUCAGGAACAGAGGGGCUUAAAUUGUACAUUCCAGUUGUACUCACAAGUCGGGAUUGUCGAGCUCUGAGUCAGAACUUUCAACGGAAACGACCCCCGAGGUCGGAUUUCCGACCCGGAAAGUCGGACAAUCCACACAACUAUUAAGUUGAUAUUUCAAGAUGGCUGUGCCGGUUGUAAACAGUAAGUAGAAGCUCCAGUAAUAAUCCCUUUAUCAACACAAACCUGCGCUUUUUGUGUUCCCUCUUCAGAAAUUGAUUAUAUUCGGACAAGGCAAGCACAAGAAUAAUUUUCGUAGAUGUAGCCAUCUUGUUUCCGCUUCCGUUUUUGGCCAUUGGCUACUUUUUUUUUCCGACUUUGGUAACCGAAACACUGAUAACUCGAGUGUGACGUCAUUCCCAGCUCCGACUUCCGAGGUAAAUGGAACGCACCAUAAAAUACACUGAUUUUGAGACAACAGUUAUCAAUGCAGCACAGACAUUUUUUAACAGCUGUCUCUGAAAUCAAAUGAGGCGUCAAAAAGAGAGUAAUUUCCAAAGAUGGCAAGCCUAAUAAGACAGUUUUAAAAAUACAAUGACAUUGGACAUCUCAUAGUGAUCAUCCAAAGAGACCAACAGGAAGUUUGUGAAAUUGAAAAAAUGCCUGUUCCCAAAUAUGGUCCUAAUUCAAAAUAUUAACAGUCGAUGUAAGGAUAUGUUUUAGAAGCUUUGAAUAAAAUCAAAUGAACAGGGAUGACAAACAAGAAUAUUAAGAUGUUAUUCUUAUAAUUUUAAAGAGACAAAUCAGACAUCAUAAAUCCACACGGGUGACAUUUGACAUAAUGCACUACUCCUGCUCCAUGCUUUGCAUGCCUCUCAUGUUUACACUGAGUCUUACAUUUCCAUGUGAUGAGCUCUGGCUGUCUGCACAGAGAUCUGGACCAACCUGCUCUGCAUCAUCUGUCAGUGCUGUAAUCCCAAACAGCAGCUUCCUCCUGAAUAGCUCUCAUACUCUCCAUGUGAGGGGAGGCUGUAAGUGCUCUCUAGUGCAUGAUGUAAAGCUGACUUUGACCUUUGACUUCUCAGUAAAGAGGCAGCACAAAUCAAGAGGGGAUAUUUUUCUGUUUGAAUAUUUCAAAAUGACGUUAGAGUGAGCUCGGGCUGAACCUGUGAGGAGAUAAGGGGUUAAUCCCGGAGGUUGUGCUCAGGUUUCAGCAGCUUUGAUCUCUCUUGACAUCGACUUUUGCAGCAGUUAUUUUUCUGAUACAGGUGAGACGCAUCAAAAGGUUUCUGUUGGCACCCACUUGUAUCCUUCCUCACGUUCUUUGUGAGUUAGGUAACCGUCAGGACACAUUCAGGCUUGAUGGGCAGAACUGAGCUUGUCUAUCCUUUUUGGUUUUGUCUGCUGCAUAACUUCCUCAAGGCAUCGAGAGUACAGCACAGAAAACAGCUUCAACUGCUCAUUUAGUAAGAAUGCAAACAAGGGAGACAGACCAUACUUAGACUUGAUGAUGUUUUAGCUUCUCUAACAAAUCCUAAAGCACAAAAUAUGAACAGGUAAAACUUCCACAGAUAAUAUUGUUACUUUACUGGCAUUAUUUUCCUUUCAAAGAGCAGCAUUUCCUCAUUUCUAAGGGCCUGUUUCCAUUACCUGCUUUUUUGUGCUGGCAGCCAAGAGCUCUUCUCACAUACUGUACUGUUGCUAAGUUAGACUAGUUUUCCCACACUACUUCUGUUACCCCGUCAUCUCUAUUCCAAAGUUGUUUUCUUUUUUGCUUCAUAUUUGUUUAAAUUUAACAGCAAAGUAUAUAAAUAGAUAAUUGUACUGCAGCUCUAUAUUUGGAAUUAUCUAAUACCCUCAAAAACACUUGGAUUGGUUUCUCCUCUGCAGCUCAUGUUAACAGAUUUAAUAGCAAAAGUCCCACCCUUUCUUAAUUUUGGUAAGUCGGAGGUAAAGUAGUAAUAUUGACAAGUUAAAUGUUCUGAAAAGUUGAAUUAUGUUGAGGUACAGUGGGGAAAAAGCAGCUGAUGUCAGGAAACACUGAACUGAUUGGUUUGUACAGUAAACGGGUGCUGUUAGUGGACACAGGCCCUAACUCAUAGACUACAGCAGCUUUAUUAGUGGCUCAGCACUUCAAUAGAUGAAGCUGUAGGUCUAUGGUUCCAUUUCUGUGUACUGUCCUCCAGCUACAUGUUGUUGUUACGUGACCUUGAGGAAAUUUUAUGUAAAGUCUUCACAGAUCUAUGGAUGUUUCAAAGUACCAAAAGACCAGAGUUUGAAGAUCUAUGUGAAAGUUAUCCAUUUUUAUGUUCUGGUUUGCUUUUGUGGGUCAUAAAGUACAAUCAUUUAAAAUUUCAGUUUGUUUCUUGGCCAACUAAAAACUCCUGAGAGGAGCUUUAAGUGCAUGUGCUGCUAUUAAAAUAUACCAAAGCCAUUUACCUCCCCGUUUUCUGUUCUGACAUCUAAAUAUGAACCGACUAUGUAGGACUGGGCGAUAUGGCCUCAAAUCAAUAUCUCGAUAUAUUGAUCAGUUCACCUCGAUAACGAUAAAUAGAAAAUAACUACUCCACAAGCUGCUCACCCUCUCCCACAUUAACUUCGUCUACUUCAGCCACUACAACUUUUGAACCGUCCUCCAUCUCCUCACCUGUCUUUCACUCUUUGUUAUGGACUGGAUGAGGUGGAGUCACGUCUCUGAUGUAGGACAGUGUCUUAAAGGGACAUGAAACCAUAGCCUACUUACACACAUCCAAAACCAACUUUUAUUUAUUUUUUUGACACUGAAUUUACCGACAUGGGCAAAAUGACGUUGGUUAUUGACGUAAAUUUCAGUAUCAGUAAAUUUUUGGUUUAUCGCCCAGCCCUAUGACUAUGACUGUUUCACAAUUCUUACCAUGUUUUUAUGAUUAUUUCAUAUCUACAACCUUUAAAAUCUGAGGCUUUGCUUGGCAGUCUUUAUGUAGAAAGCAUAACUGAACCUGUAUUAGUGUAUUAAAUGGUCAUUUAUUGAAGUCCUACCAGAUUGUACAGAUUUUCUUAAUCUUAAAAACCCUGCACUUAAAAAAAGGUGUAACUACAAGGGUAUCUGGAUCAUCAAUCAAGAAUUCUCUGUUACUACUCUUGGCCUGUUUUUAGCACAUGACAUAUUUGAGCAGUUGAUUAUGAUAACUUGAAAAGUUUAAAGUGAAACUUCACCAUGUAAUCUCAACAUGAAACUUUAAAUAAAGCAAUGUAAACAGUCAGUAAACCUUUAAAUAAGUCCCCCAGAAUAAACAGUGUGAAAUUUACAGCACUUAAGUUUUCUCGUAUGGACAAAAAUAUAAAGAGUAUAAAUAUUGUGAAUAACUAAGCUCUGUGGUUGUGCUCUAAUGAAGCUUAAAGGGUUAAUAGAUGAUUUAAUGUGAUUUAAUGGCCAUUCCUGACCACUGCCUGUGUUUUCACUUUCACGUGUGAUUAGGAUAAUUGGAUUCAAAUGGAAAUUUGUUUCAAAAGGUAAAGGUUUUGGUCGAAACUGCACAUGAAAUAAAAACAAAUAUCUGACCUACACAAAUAAGACCCCGGCUGUUAAAGCGAAACUUUCCAUAAUGAUGUGUUUGCGCUCCUUUUCACUAUUUAAGUUCUUGAUUGCAAAAGCAUUUGCAAAAGUUUCCUCUUUCUAAAUAGAUCUCACUCAUCUUGACAAAUUGCUUCACAUGUUGAUCUGGAGCCCAGAUCUGCAGAAAGUGUGACCUCAGCCGGCUCCUGCGCUGACUGGGUCAUGUGUUUCCCUACCAGCCAUCCAGACAGACAGACAGUCAGACGGCGCUGUGAGGCCUGUUACAACACCCGGGCGUCCCUGAAAACAGGCAAACAGGCGACUAUUGAGCCAACCUGCACACUUUCCACACUGUCACGGACUGAUUCAUGUCAAAGUGGGGCUCUCGCUCCAUGAUUGGACUCAAUUAAAGCCACUGAGGCGUGAAUGUAAAGGCCCAGGAGUAUGGAAACCCCAUGAUACACGCACACACAUGCAUGCACACACACAGACAAACGUCAUACUUGUUGGUUUUCACUUCUUGGAGUGUGUUUGGUGAAUUGUGGCUGUACUUUGGCUCAGUCAUAUACAACACAUGCAUUAAUCUGGCAACUUUUAAUGAGUAAAUAACUUUAAUGUUUGUGUAAAUUUAGUGUGAUAAAUAAAGCAUUCAGAAACCUUCUUUAAAGAUGUUUCUCAUCCGUGCAAAUCUGCAGGAAUUUUACACCCACGUCGUGACACUCGGUUGCCCCCUUCUACCUUCUGCCGUCUCCCGGUGGUACGUCCUCUUUCAGGGAUGGUCUGUGCAGAUUAGGCACGUACAAACAUAUCACUAUCAGUAGGUGGACAGCUGUGGCGGUGAUGUGGUGCAGCUGUUGUUUAAAAGUGUGGAUGAAUGAGCGUCUUGUGCGUCAUGCAUGGAUUUUAGCUCAUAUUUCUUGAACUCUUUAUCUGAAUCUUUAACGAAAAUUGACAGUCUGCCAAUCAAAACUGUCACAAGAUGAGCUCUAAGUGGGCCAGCAAGCUCUAAGACAUACCUCUAAAUUAAACCCCUUGUACACUCGGACUUUUCCUCUUCUUCUCCAUAUUACAGGAUCCUUAUAGCAGCUAAAAUCCAUCAGCUAUGGGUAGGGCUGGGCGAUAUGGGAAAAAAUGAUAUAUAUUUUUUUCAUAUCAGUCAAUAUCGAUAAAUAUCAUGAUAUAAAAAAAUGAAAUCGAACAGUGCUUAUUGGUAGCAUGUUCGCAAUACAAUAAGCUACUGCAUCUGUGAGGUCUUUGUGUCUCUUUGAUAUUUUGUCGUAUGGUGUUGCGCUAGAGAAAGCGGGCUGAAUUGUCGGUUUUUGUCAGAACAUUACAGAACAUUAUCGCACUUCUGAAUCUCCUAACCCUAACCCGACAGACGAUGACGUUUCACAGCCAUAAGGAAUAACCAAUCGGAGCCCAGCACUUCUAGCCAAUCAGAGGCAAAGGAGGAAGGGACCUUCCCCUACCAUCAAAAAAAAAAAAGUUUGCGACCCGGAGCAACUCCUCUUUUCAUCGGCUCUUCAUAUAGUCUACCAGAACAUAGUCGAAUGACGGCUAUCAUGUUUUAUUUCGAUAAAGACGUAAAUUAAUUUUUGAUAUAUAUCAUUAUAGUUUUAUCGCCCAGCCCUACAUAUGGUCCACUCUAUGAUCCUCUUGUCGUUUGACAGUCAUUAAAAGUCGCUUACUUUUCUGUUUUUUGCUGGAGAAUAACAUCAAAUUAAUGCUGAGUGAAUCUUAUUUUAAAAUGGUUAACAUCAAACUGACUCUAAAGUGGAAAAAUUCAUAUCAAACUGCUUGUCCGUCCUCAUACGAGGGUCCCUCUUCUGUGUUUUUUUUUCCCACGGUGAUGGUUAGUUAUUAGCUCUACUGUAAAGCCCCUGCAGUUUCUCUUCCAGUGAGACACAUGAACAGGACUCUCACUGUUUCUGUGUGGCUUUUGGGAGAAUACCUCGGCCCCUCUCCCUGUAAUAAAUCCUAUCUGCUCACAAUGCGCGGCUCCAUGGAGCUGUGGGUGGAAUUAAGGCUGGUCGCGGUCACAGAGGCCGUGCAUGCUUGUGAGAGUCAACGCUUUGAAUCUGUGUUCGUGUGUGUUGUGAAUAGUUCGUAACCGUGUCAUUGUUCCUGUUUAUGUAUCCUGACUGUGUGUGUAUGAACCUGUGUGUGUAAAAGCUCUACCAAUUGUAUAGUUGUGUGUUUGUGCCACACCCAUUCCUGAAACCUUUCCAGAUAAACCCAGCGGCCUGAGUCUGUGAGAGGUGUCUCCCCUGAUAUUAUCUCCCCUCCUUUGUGCCAUCUGUUUAGACUUCCACCAAUUCGAGGCAUGCUCUGCAUUCCACCUCAUGAAGUUCAUGUCAGGUGUGUUUGCUCAUCUAACAUGGAAAGUUUACUUUGAGAGUCAGCGCUGCGGCCCCCGACUCAUUAACCUACAGAGGAGUCCGAACAUGUAUAUAAUCCUUUAAAACUGAGUUAAGACAAAUGACACGGAUCAGCUCCAGAACAUUUACUAACAAAAUAAGAUUUUUCUCCUCAAUUUUCAUCUUAUCUUGAUUUGGCCAGGUCCUGUUUCAUUACUUUACUACGACUAAAACUACAACUGAGUUUUCAAGUUGUACAGUGCACAAUUAAGGCAAGCUGUUAAUUAACAAAAGUAAGAUGAAGACGCAGAGAAGUGUGACGGCUAAAGCUACAGUAAGCAGUUUUUAUUUUGUGUUGGUUUGGGCGCCCCCCUGUGGAAACAAAGCAUCAAUGGAUAAAUCAUAUUUUCUAACAACGACAAAACUCAUCCACAGUCAAUUGUACAAAAGAGGAUUAGGGCCACAAGAAGAGAAAAAAAUAAUUACAGGAGGGAGAUUUUUUUAAUUUCCAUAUUGAGAUUAAAGUUGAAAUAAAAAAAUUUGGAGAAUAAAUAAUUUGGAGAUAAAUAAAAUCAAAAUUACUUAAAUAAAGUCCAAAUUUUGAGAUUAUAAAAGUCUUUCUCAUAAGGUCUUAUAUUUAAACAUGUUGUUUAAGAUGACAGUUGUUGAAAUGAGAGCCAUGGAGCAUUUCAUGAAAAUGUACUGUGAUAUCGGUUUCUCAAACAAGGAGAUACUUUAUCUUUUGGCACAUCAGCACCACAUUAUCAUAAGUAUCAUAAUUAUUUCAUUACAACUUUAUUCUUGUAAAUUAACAACUUUAUUCUCGAAGUCUUAAUUUAUUUUUUUAACUUAAUCUCACUCAAACACUGUCUUAACAGUUGUGCACAGAUAUGACUUGUUCACCUAAACACGAAUAAAAUCCUUCCCGCUAGAAAAUAACUUCUUAAAUUAAUAGGAAGAUGCAAUUAGAUGCAAUUUCUUGUUGGUCAGCACGAAUGAGGUGGUGCAAAUGAAGGAAAUUAUAUGCACAAAUGACAUGAAUUUGCAACAUGUUCAAUGUUUCAUUUGUGAGUGUUGAAAAGUUUGAACCAUAGACUGUAUAUACUGUGGACAACUUGGCUCCGCCUUCCACCCUUACCCCAUCUCCUAAGAGCUAGCGGUAAUCGCUUUGCUUCUUCUAUAAAGGCUGACAAAAAUGUUUUAGCAAUUAAGAUGAUAAAAUUUACUUCUAGAUGACAUAAAAAGGUAAACAUGGCCAUUUAGUCUGUUAUAAUAGUUUGACAUGACUAAUAUCGUCAUCAGGGGUUAGAUGAAUCAGCCGGAGGCUCCAUGCCAGCACACUGGAAAAACACUGUUUUCAACAUUUCACAAAAACAACCCCAGUGGAUAGAAAAUCCUGAACUCUGUGUUUAAUUCAGUCUAUUCCACGCUGUGACAUGUGUGAAUAAUCUGAUUUUUUUUUUUUUUUGGCUCUUUGGUAUGAACAAAGUGAACCACAUUACAUGUGCCCAAACUUUCUCUGCCAGCCCUUUUUCCACAGCAUGGUCGGUUGUGGUAUGACUUCCUCUAAGCUGGUUUUCCAACCACUAUUUAAUGCCAGAAGACGGGGAAGUCCACUCCCUUUUCACUGUAAGGGAACUAAAGCUACAUUUGCACAUGUUUCAGGGGGGAAAUUUAGCUAAUUUGGGAACACUGCAGAAAAGAAAGUGGACCUCAAGAACUCACAAAGCAACCUCCUUAAAAAAAAAAGCUUCUAAUAGUUCAGAUUUAUUCCAAAUUUUUGAAAUGAUGACUGAUUGUUUGGACAAAAAGCAAAUUUUUAACUCAUAGUAGAAGAAAGGCGAUUCUUUAACUUUCCAGUCCUUGACAUUUAUGCAUAAAAGCAAAGCAGAGCCAGCAAUGGAAACCUCCAAAUUGACUCCAGACUUGGGAAUCGUCUAGCAGUGGAGGAACGUUUGGAGAAAGAGCAGGUCAGUCAGGGACAACAGGCCUCACUUUGAUCAUGGAGGAGAAGAUUAACCCCAUAAGUGAAUUAAUUAGAAACCAGGACUGAUCUGGGCCGGGUGCCAGCCUCCCUACUGACAAGAGAAAGAGAGAGAGAGACGACAAAGACCACAUUGGUUCGCCCACAUCUAACGCAGGUCUUGUGAGAUGAUCAAAACAGAUAAAUUGAUCACUUUGGGUGGCUUAUCAUGGCCCCUUUGGACACACCCCUCAGUUUUGGGACUUGGUUGGAGUACGCAUUAUGAAACCAAGAUAUGAUCUGCCGCAGAUCCUAUCUUCUCUGGAUUUUACUUGAGGGGAAAUCCUGAAAACAAGAAAAAGAUGAGUCUGACUCUAACUGAAUGAACCACAUAACCUUGCAGUGAAGGAGCAAGAAAACCUGCAGGACUUCAACCAUGUUGUAAGGACACACAUUAGUCGACGAUGACUGUUUUCCUGGCUUUCCAUGACACAGCUCCCCCUGUCAGACACACAGAGUCGUUGACGCCCUCUGGGAUCAGUCCCCUCAGCGUGUCUUGAUAUUUCCCCCCUUGAUUAACUAAUUUAAGAGAAUCCACCGGGUUAGUCCUUUCCAAGCUUUUCUACUGUAUCUCCACCUCUUUUCUUCUCCAGCGGGGACAAUAGACGGAAGCAGCCAGCUGAGGCCUAUUAGGGUAACAGGAGAACGCUCUCUGGGGUAUCGUUUUCACAUGCAGGGCUCCAAAACAUGCCGUCAUAUCCUUACUGCUACCAGACGGCGUACAAUGCUCUGACACAGGGCGCUGUGAGCCAAAGGAAAAGGGCGUGUGUCGGCACGACCGGGCGCACGGACAGAUUUACACACAUCAACUGAAGCCCCAUUAGCAAGUCAACGUUCCACUAACAGUCUGAGGAAAUCCCUGCUCCUAACCCCUACGUGUCCAGCUUCAGAAAAUCUGUUACAACACGGCUCGCUCGCCCAUCUGGACUGCACCACGUGGCUGCAGGGGUGUCCUCAGACAUGCAGGGGAUGCUGACGUUCCCGUUUGUCAAACAGCGUGCCUCUGCCGGAUUUUUCUUUCCACGGGUUUUCCCUUCUUACAUCAUCUGCUGUCACUCAUCUGAAGUCUAUUGUGUGGACGUGUGUGAGGCCUUCUGAAUGAGUGUCUUUGUGCGCAUCUGGGUGAGAGUGUGUGUGUGAAUGUUAGCGUGUGUGUGUGUUUGCGGUGAGAGGCUUUGGAAGGAAUGUCUCGGGAUGAUAGGGUUUCCCUGUCAGGCUUUUGACAAACUCCCUACAUCCUACGGAAUUCCCUCACAUGUGGCGGACGACAACGCCAGUCUUUCCUGACCCGUGCCUUUUUCCUGUUGAAGUCCUGAUAUACAGGUCCUGCAUUCUUUCCACCUGGUCGGACUGUGAGCUUGACCAAAAUUUAAGAAAAUCCUCAUUUAGUGUGUUGUCUGAAAAGUCUGGACGAUAUUAAUCUUUGAAUCCGCAGUUGAUGGAAAAUGUUUGACUCUUUCUUAAAGCUGCAGUGUGCAGUUUUUAGCCGCGUUUGGCAGAAUGGACCAGCCAGAACUCGAAUAUUCAUGAGUAUAUUUAAGUUGGUGCAUAACCACCUGAAUAUGCAAAAACAUUUUGUCAACUUAGAACAAACCUUUAUAGCUACAUAAGGAGCAAGUCCUCUUCUACAUCUACAGUAGCCCAGAGUGGACAAAUCAGACAAAAUUUAUGACAAAAUUUGGCCUUGUCAUGUACACAGAAGCUUUAUGUCCUUGAAGGCCACUGUUGCUUCAUCAAUAGGACGUGAGCAAGGCAACAAUUCAAGAUAUCCUCAUUCCUACACACUCUACUUUUUAGAUAAUUAAAUUUUUAGAGCUUUAUUCCACUUUGUUGUUGCAAUGACAGAGCUGUCUGUCUGUUUCAGUUUUGCAGAGGUCAGAUGUGGGAAUUUUUUGUCUAUUUUGACGGUCACUUCGCCAAAAAAGAACGUUUCAAUCUUCCAGACUGUCUUUUCUAAAAUCGAUAAGAUUAAAACACCACUUUUACAUAAGGAUGUCCCAAUUCUGACAUUGACAUCAGAUAUUGGUCCAAUAUCAUCCCAAAAACAAAUACCAGAUUAUAUCGGUCUAGAUCUAAAAUCUCCGAUAUCAGCACUCCGAUACAAGCAGUCCAUUCCAGACUCCGCUCCAGCACCUGGAUCCAGCAUGCAGAGCUUACGUGAUCACAACAACAGGGUGUAAUAAGGUACUAAAAGAUAGAUGUCAUGCACAAGUUUGUGCCAAUAUCGGAUCAAUAUCGGUAUCAGCCAGUACUGAAGGCUGCAAUAUUGGUAUUGUAUCGGAAGUCAAAAAGUUGUAUCCGGACACUCCUACUACAGGUUAUUGUGAUAAUUAUGGAAAAGUUGAAAAUGAAGAAACACAAUUAGUCAAAUUGAGGAAAGGCGAGAUGAGGUCGGUGCAACACAUCACUUCAUCAACUUAAUUACAUGUCAUCCAAUUCUAAUGGUGUUCAGAGUUAUAUGGUUUAUCCACAUCACACAGAAACUUCACUGAAGAAGACACUGGCUUGUGAGAAAAGUUUUUUUAAUGCUUCUAUUUUGAUAUUUUUAUUUCUUGUUUUCAGAUUUCCAUGCUUUUAUUUUGAUGUUUACUUUUUCCAGCAGCUCGUAAGUUAUGAAACUGGAUGAAAACAGUAAAAAACACAGUCACAAAGACACUAAAUCUCUAAUAUUUUUUUAGAUUCACAAUAAAAUCUUUAAAUGUCAGCUUUUAAAAGUGUUAAAUCCUCUCUUACAGAGCUGCUAAGGCUACCUCCCUACCAGCUGCUGCUUCUUCUUUGUCUUGCCUUUGCUUUGUGACAUAUGUCAACUAGCACUCACAGAGAUAUCAAUAUUUCUUUUCUUUUUUUUUAAGAUUGUUUUCAUGCAUCAUCAGAGAUAUCAUUAUUUCAUUUUUGUAAAAGAUUGUUGAGUUAUUUUUAUCUUUAUCUAAAUAAAUUAAAGCUUUGAAUAUGUUUUCUGGAGUACAACCUUUAUGUCAAAUCAGGAUUUGCACGUCUUAAGAUUUCCUGACAAGGACACAAAAAGUCUAUUUUUUAACUCUGGCUCGUCUCCAAACCGCUGCUUUCAUACUGGUCUUUCGUUGGUCUACAACUGUCACAUCAUUUUUCCGACAAACCUCGUCUCUUUGUAAUAAACCGCUUUUAAAAAUACAGUUUAGGCCAGUUUAAACCAGGCGUAUAAAACCGGGCUUGUCAUUUUCUCUCUCUCUGUGGAACACUUUUUUCCUUCUGAUGUCUUAUUUUGGAACAGAACUUUUCCCGUCUGGCGUGAGUCGGCCAUGUUGUCCCUGGGCCCCGUACAGUAUCCAAACCCACAGAACCAGCAGAGAGGGAGGUAGGAGGGAGGGAAAGAGUUCCAUACUUAUGUAACCUGUUGUCAAGGCAACCUGGUUUUGUCAUAGCAACUUACCGCCAACAGUUACAACCAGAGGAAAAAGGAGGAAACUCUCGUGUUGACAGACGGGAUCCUUAGCUGAGUACUCAUGGCAGAGGAGGUUCGUCAUCUGCUGAGUAUUCUGACUGCUGCUUUGUGGUUGAACAGUGAUUGUAUAAAUAUGUGAGUGGGAGAGUGCUUAGGGGUGUGGGCAUAGCUUGAUGUCUUAUUUUUUUAUUGAAUGAAAAAGCUUUUGCCUUUUGUUUUUGGAGUAAAUGUUUGUCCGUCCACGUGCAAACCGACAGUAUCAGUCGCUUGUGCCUUUAUGUGUGUGAGAGGUUAUAAAAACUGAGGUUGGAUUAAGUCUGGCCUUGUGGUUCCAUGGCGUGCUGAGUGAGGAAACCCAGUUGGCAUCGGGGAGGCAAGAAAUGCCAAAGAUGGCCGCUGCUGGAUGCCUGGUUUCCAGGCACUUCCAGUAAUCUGCAGCCUCCCCAGCUCAGACGGAGUCACAAUAUUUCAAUCCUCGCCGCCAGAACUCGAUUGGAUCAUUCAAUCCAAAAAAACACAGUAUUUCUCUUUUUCCUCAUGCAUGAAUCCAAAGUUAUUUAAAAUCAAGGCCAAGAUGUAAGCAAACUUGCAGACUUUGAUGCCUUUUCUUGAGAAAAAUGAUAAUAAAAACAUGCAAUUAGGAUUUGUCAAACAAUACAAUCUGAAAGUAUACGGUAAAGUCUCUGUUUCGUAUGGUUCCUAAGGUUUCUCUCUGUUUUGAGGGAAGUUGGUGUGUGCUUAACGCUGAGGAAACACAUACUGUACCGGCCAGAUAUGCAAAAAGGAAGAAGGGAACUCUGUUUUUCUAAGGCAAGACUGAGUCACCAUGAAUGAAGGAACACCAGGGAGGAAAAAUGCAACCCUUACCUCACUGAUGAGGACUAAACAGAGAGCUAGGGGCACAGAAAGACCAAGAAGAGAGACUUUACAGACGCUAGAAACUGAUACAAAAGGAUCCGCGUCAAGGACAGAUGAGGUAAAGGGCAGCAAAAAAGAAUAAAAAGGAAAAAAAGGACCUUUCAGACAAUCAUCCAGUGAUGUCAUUGUAACCGUAGUUUACUCACUUCUAGUUCUGCAUUCUGGCAGUCACCAUCUUGGUUUUCUGGCGCCACAUCCAGCCUUAUUUGUAGGUAGUGACUGGAACAAGUAAAUCAAAUGCAUGCAGCUCAAGGUAGAGGGAAAGUUUUCACGAUGGCGAUAAACUUUAUAGGGGAUAGAUGGGGCGAUGAAAGGAUGCAGAGGAAAAAUCUACAAAUCACAAAAAUAUAGUUGAGUCCUGUUUUUUAUUCACUAUCCCCCAUAAACACGUGGUUUAUGGAAGAAUACACUGGCCAACAAACCAAGUAGAGUAUAAACCUGUAGAGCUUGUGUAUGUUAACGUUGCUUCUCACCAGGUUGUAAAAAAUGUUCCAUGGCACUUCUACCUCCAUCAAGAGUGACUUUUCAAGUGAUUUGUUCAUCUCAUUUAGUCUGUCAUUAUAGACAAAAUAAGAAAAAAAAAUCAAUAGAUAUCAACCAGAAGCUCGACUUUACCUAAACAAACAAGCAUGAUUGUCCCUCUGUCGUUGGCAAAUUUGAAAGCAGAAGUCUGAGCCCUUCUCGAUUUCAACCAAGUGGCGUUGAAGAAGUGUCAUUGACAAGCACAGGGAUAUCCAAAAACGUGGGUUAUUUUCAACUGUGAGUGCCGUGAACAAAGAGACACAAAACAGGCAAAAAUGAGGGUGACUUCACACUUUGGACGCUAAACAAUGACAAUGCUGGAUGACACUGAAAAAUGGCUUUGAUUUGCUGACCCAAAUACCUGCUAAUAAUGCUGUUCUCCAGUUACCUCAAAAGUCAGAUGUCAGAGCUGGGAAUGACGUUGCACCCGAGUUGACGGCGUUCCAGUAAACAAGUCGGAAAACCAAGAUGUUAGCUGUUGUGAACAAUUGUCAGCCAUCGUUAGCCGUUGUCAGUUGUUGUUAGUUGUUGUUGUUAGCUAUGCCAAUUGUAAACAACGCAUAACACAGUAUUUCACUCUUACAAACACCAAAGCACUGUGUUCACAGUUGUUGUUAGUGCACUGCGCUGCCAUCUUGGAUAAUGAGGUUGUCGUCAAGUCAGGGUUGGUGAGGAUCGUCCGACUUUCCGAGUCGGAAGUCCGACCUCUGGGAGGUGUUCCAGAUGAACUGCUGACUCGAAGAUUAGAAAUCCUGACUUCUGAGUACGACUGGAACGCAGCAUAAGUGGUCUGUCUUUGUUGUAUCACUACACUGGCAUCCAUGUUUUUCAUCCAGCAUUUAAAGGAGCUUAAAGCUAAAAACUGCAAUUCCUCGAGUGCCCACUAGAGGCUAGCUGCAAAAGAACCAAAACCCACAUACACACUUAUUUAAAAAGGAAAAAAAAAAAAGCAUAAAUAAACAUGCAAAAAGCCUGGUUUAAAAAGUGCUUUUCUUUUUCAUAAAUCAAGUCAGCACCAAGUGGCCAAAAGUGGAACUGCAGUUUGUGAGACUAACAUACUGGUUUCAUUUUUUACCCAUGCAGCUGCUGGUUGGUUUUAGACCAUAAUGUGUGCAGAUAGUUGGUACCAGUAAUUAUUUGAGUCAUUUGAGGAGCAGAAAUAAGACAAAAAAGGACAAGCAAAGGAACGAUUCAAGGUAAAGGUAGAAAAAGAAAGAAUCACAGAGAGAAGUCUAUAUUUUCCCACACUGUGUCCUGAUAACAAAGGCAUCCAGAGAGUCCACCAGAUUACAAAAGCAGGCAGUGUGUACCUUUCCUUCACUCUCUGAAUGUGUACGAGUGAUUGUGUGUGUUUGUGUGUGUUUGUGUGUGUUUUAUUAUUGUAUCCAAGGCAAAGAAGCCGUCUCUAAGUUUCCAUCCUCCUCCUCCUCCUUUUCCUCCUCCUUCUUUGGAGCGGCAAUUUCCUGAACCCAGGCCAGGAAACUCUGCGUCGUUCUGCUGGGCUGAGAGGCACAGAGGAUUGUGGGAAGGAGGGAGGGGGAGAGAUGGGUGAGGGUUUUAUACAGUAGGCACUUCAAUAGUGAUAGAGCUAAAUGCUUACAGAGCAUGUAAAGAGAUGUUUAAAAUAAAAAGGGUGGAGGUGGAGAAACAGGCAUGAGUGAAAGAUGAGGGUGAUGAGAGGAAGAGCAGAGGUGACAGGGUUAAAGAGCAGAGUAAUGAGGCUUAAAAAUACGCAAAAGCUAACAAACUGCAGAGAAAAUACAACAAAAAUCAAAAUUUACAGAUUAAAUAAAGCUUCACCUGGUCGAUUUAUCACCAAGGUAACAAAGUGUGAUCAAAGUCAGCCCCUUUUUGAACCAGGAAUGUCAAUUAUGCUGUAUAAACUCUGGCAUUUUAACAUGGAGUUUUGUACAGAAGCCCUAAAGGUAAAAUUACACAAACAUUUCACAAUGACAAAAUAUAUUUUAAUACAUUGGAAAAUAUAUAUAGAUAUAAUUCAAAUAAUUUUAGUCAACACAAAUAAAAAAAAUCAAACAAACACACAAAUAAAAAAUAUUUUCAUUUUGAUUUGUGUUUUUAGAAUAAUUUUGGCUUUUGGAAAAAUAUUCAUAAUUAUGAAAAAUGUAUUUGUUUUUUUUUUAUAUUUUUGUUUAAAAUGAAUUAUUUUCACAUUUCAUUAAAAAUGUUCAUAAUCCAAAAAAAAUAUGUAAUACUCAGCUAUAUCUCGUCAGUGAUCUUGACAUUUUUUUUUUUAGGUCUCAUAACAGGUUUGAUUUGUGUUUUUAGAAUAAUUUUGGCUCUUGUAAAAAUAUUUCAUAAUUUUGUGAAAAAUUCUUUGUCUUUUUUAUUUUUUUUUGUUUAACAUGAAUUAUUUUCACAUUUCAUUAAAAAUUUUCAUAAUCCAAAAAAAUAUGUUUCAAAUUUAUGGGAAAAAAAAAAACUUUCAAAACUCUCAGCUUGUUUAACUCGUUGGUGAUUUUGACACAUUUUUUUUUUCUUUUUUUUCUUUUAGAUCUCAUCACGGAUGUGGCCCAGGACCUGGACUUCCAAAAGUGAGUACCCUCAUGUUGAGCUCUUGCUGGCUAUGUGUGUGUUUGUACUGCUACAUACACUCCACAGAUACACUAAAAUGAAUCUUUUAACUGCCUGUCAAUGGCUCAAAGAAACACUUAUCACUUUCCCACCUCUCUGAAAGGCUGUCUAUAAAGAUGUCUACUAGCAUUACAGCUGUUGUUCCACAGCUUGACCUCUGACCCCGGUUUUUCCUACGGGGAUCAAUUAAAGAAUGUCGACCGGAGACCUGAGGGUCCGAGAUAACGGCUCUGAUUUCAUGUUCAGCUGCACAAAGAAAACAAAUCUUACACACUUCCUUCUUGUUAUUAAUUAGCCGUAGCCCGGCCACACUUGUGUUGCUUAUUCAAGAUCUCUCCCCCACUCCUCCCCCCUUUCCAUUUGCUCGUUAUCUGCCUCACACCACUUCCUGAGUGGUUGUUGAGGAAAGCUUGUCUCACUCUGGCACAAUGUUGACAUCUCUGGCACAACCUGAUGUGUGUGUGUGUGUUUGAGAGCGAGACAGACUGAAAGAGAAGAGGUGAGAUUCCUGAAGGGUGAAAUCAUGGAGGCUCAGCCUGUUUUUAACUGAGCUGUAGCUAAUUAACUUUAUUCUCUCUCUCUGCGUUGUGUUGCUGCUAACUCACGGCUGUUUCUGAACUGACGACUGGUGCUGGUUUAAAAAUGAUGAAUGCACAACGACCCGUGAGAAAUCUGUGACGAGUUAAUAUGUGUUUGGAGAGCAUGAUUUAAGAUUACAAACUGCAACCUCCAGAGAAGAAGAAUGGCCUGUUUCGGUGCAGAACUGUUUGGAUGUUUUGGUGAAAGGUCAUAAAGAUUUAGAAAGACCAUUUUUGGGGAAAAAAAUCUGAGCGUUUUGCGUCUUCGAUGCCAGCGUUUGCCUCACCCAGUGCAAAUUUUCCAGCAAAACAGAUUCCCAACUAAUGUGCCUUUGGUUGUUGCUGCAGGUGAACACUAUGGUGAUUGUUUUUAAAGAAUUAUGAACCACCUAAGCGCCUUGUUCCUCAACCAGACCUGCUUCAUCUUCUUCUACUCUGACCUGAUAUGCACUUGCAGAAUCACACAGUUACAGUUUCUCACGGUUGCCAAAACACCAGAUCCCACGCUCUUAUCCAAAUGCUCGUGUAGUUGAUCCAGACGCACUUUGCAGAUCUCUCUAUCCCUUUUUUCAAAACUCUACGAACACAUUUUAAAUGUAUUUUACACUGUGAUAAAUUUGUGAUGCUUAUUGGUAACUACAGAGUCAAAGAAAAAUAACAAGGUGUCACGGUUAAUACACGACUCAAGUCUGAAAACACUUUGGUUCAAAAGUGCCAAGAACUGAACGAGAUUCUGUCUCUGUGUUUACCGCCUUUGCAGAACGCUGUAUUUGUGAGUAAUCAGAUGACAGUGUGUGGGAGUGUUUGGGGUUUGAUUGUGAACUGUUCUUUUAUGCAGCCGUCAAAGUUUUAGUUCUUCGGUUCUUGCUUUUUGAAAAUGUAACUGCAGUUAUUAUUUCAUGUUUAUGAUUAACUUAACCUGCUCUAUCAAACUGCUCUAUCAGUUUGGUGUCAGGAGGCACCACUUCAUGUAAUCUCAAGAAUCUUAUUUUGGCAGAAAAACCAGCUGCCUUAAUGUUCUCUGCCAAAUGUCAUGUAGUCAUUACUGACUCUUUAGUUAUCCACCUUAAGAAGAUCGUCUUAUCAUUUAAAUUCAGCAGCUAGAAUCAGAACAUGUGCUGCUUGUGUUUGACACACUUAAGUAUCUUUGAAAAGGUUAAAACUGGUGUCACAAAUCAUAUUUAUGCAAAAACUUGGAGAUGAAGUGUAAUAUUACAAGUUGCAGACUGGCAAUAGGUCUUUAUUAGCAAAGCUGCACAUCAGAUCUUUGGAUCCUCAUGAAAAUAAAAGAGUAAAAACAACAAAAGACAGGUGGAGGUGGUUAUUCUCUGAGGUGGAAUGCCUUAAAUGUGGAAGAAAAUCAUCAAUUUCCACUAAAAAGCUCAGGUUGGACAGUCUUCUAAACCUUUCUUAAGUCUUUGGACGUGAACCAGAGAGUUUAUAUCCAUCUGCCCAGAAAAUGACAGAUAAUGUUUAUUCUCCCAGCCCUGCCCGAUCCCAGAGGAGCCCAGAUUUCUUUUUUUUUUCUUUUCUUUUUCUUUUUUUUUUUUUAAAUUUGACCUUUUGGGUUAAAUGUGAAAUCUAAUUCGAGACCAGCCCAGACCGAACAUCUAAAAAUAGCCGACACUUAAAAUAAACUCUCUCACUCUCCAUUUGAAGUAGGAUGUCAGAGUCCAUGUGCAGCACGUCUGCUGGAGUUAAUUUCUGCAUGACGAACUCAUGAAGAAUGUCUUCUAUAAAAGGAGCAGCAUGUUUGAGUUUGCUGCUAUUUUACAUCCUUUUGAUUCAUGACUCAUCUCAACAAAACAUCUUUCACUUUAGCCACAGAGAUGAAUGUCAAAGUCUGGCUUUAAUGCACACAAACACAAAUUUAAGCUCGCAGUCUGUCAACAUGCACAAACAGUGGGGUGUUCAGUUCGCAGUGAGGCGCUGCUCUGCAAAGACGGAUGGUUGCACGUGAUCAGUUUGAUAGUACGAAGGUGUCAGGGAUGUUACUCAGCGAGGCGGCACGGCACGGCUCCAGUAAACACUGAAACGCAGCAGGAAUAAACAACAUGUGUGACAGAGAUGUUCCUGUGAGGUUAUAUCUGACUGUUGGCGGUCCUACCUGAUGGUUCAAUCCCUGCAUUUUGAUACAUACUACAGACAACUUGGCUACACCUUCCGUUUGAAGCCGAAAUUGUAUUUCCAGGAUUUUCUCCACUUCCUGAAACCACCACUCGCGCAGUAGCAUUGGUGGAAUUUAUGACCUAUACUGCAGCCCGUCACCAGAGGGCGCUGUUCUCGUGGAGGCAGACAGCGUCCAUCCAGUAUAUGAUUUUGAUCUAGUAUCGAGGAUUAGAAAUAAAUGCACUGUAGCUGAAAAACUCAAGAAGUAGUAUAAUAAAUUUAAGACACUAAAAUGAGCUGAACCAAAACUUUAAAUCUCUAAACAAGCCUCUCCAGUCCUAUCAGUCUGGUAUCAGGAGGUACCGCUCAAAUAUUAACUUAUUUUGGCAGGAAAACCUCUGUCUUUGACUGCCAAAUGUCCUGAAGUCAGGAUGGACCCAUAACUCAUACGCAGCAGGAGGAUUUGUCUAAAACCAUGCUAGAAUUUCUGCAGAACAUCUCUGGAGUGACCACCAGCGGGAUCUGCAGCCCUGCUUUGCCAUGCCUUCAGUCACUUGCAGAGGAAUGUGUCAAUCAUUCUGCACCUGCAGCCUUGUCCCGCCCCCAGAUUUCACCGUUAACUUAAAGCCCUCAAAGCUCCAGUGAGGAACUUUAGAUUUGUGUCUUGGAUGUUUCAUUUUUUUAAUGAGUAUUUUAUGAGCAGUUUGGUUUGAUUUUUACAUUUAUUUAUUGUUUUGUAUGUUUAGUCUACUCUGUGGGAGAGGUCUGGGUAUAUUUGAUUAUUAGUCUUUCGUAUUUCGGCUGCAGAGAUCAUUCAGUUUAUUCAGAUAUUAAAGCCCGGUGGAACAGUUCACACCCCACAGAAAUAUGACAAGCCUUUAACAACCAAACCUAAGACCCAGAUCCUUAUCCAAACCCUCACCUAAAUUUAUUGGACUUGAACACUCUUAAACUCUAAAACUUCUUUAUCACUAAGACACACAUGUAAACUAAACACUACUUACAGGAUUUAAAGGAAACAUACAUUUUAGAUUCCUCCUUCCGUCUCUUCUCCAUGUGAACCUGUCUGCUUUUCUCCACUAGAGGUGCUGACUCUGUCACUUUCAGACCUCUCUGUCCGCCUCCUGAUAAACCCACUUCAUGUAAAGGAUACCAAUCCACCACAGGGAUAAAACCUCAGACUCAUAUCAUAGUUCAUCUCAUCAAUCCCUGUAGUUGUAUGAGUGUGUGUGUGUGUGUAUGUGUGUGUGUGUGUGUGUGUGUGUGUGCGUGCGUGCGUGUGUGCGUGUGUGUGGUAUAAAGUGGAUUUCUCCUGUUUGUGGGGAUUGUAGCCACAUAGUUUCCACAGUUGACCACGAUGAUGUCAGUGAAAAUCUAUAUUAAGUAAAUGUAUAUUAUGCACGGGAGUGUGGGGGGAUUUCUGUGCAGCUCUUUCUCUCCAUAUGAAGGUUUAAACAUGGCACCAUCCAGCAUCAAUAUUAAAUGGAUAAUUGAUUUUCAAAAUGAUCAGUUUGUGUUUGUUUUUUAGUAAAAAUGGCUGCCAGAAGUCAAAUAAAAUCUACAAACUACUUCAUUUCCAUUUCUUAGGUCAAAAUUUUACAGAACCUUGCCCUGCUGUGAGAUGCCAUCUAUCGCCUAUGCUUGUUUACAUCCAGGUAGUAGAGCAUCACAGCGCUAUGGCAGUAGCCUAUAAUCUGAUCUAGAGCCCAAUUUAAUGGCAGGGGGCUACGCUACGGCAUCAAUACGACUUAUGACCAGCUUCAGUCGCCAUAUUUGUUUAGUCAGCCAUAGUACUAGCCAUCAAACAUCUUUUUAGCUUUGCCUGGUUUCUUUAGCAAAGAGACUAAACACAACUCACCCACUCUCCUCCAGCAGCUGCUUGUUUGUGGGGGAGCCCUGACGAGUUGAGCACUGAAUGCAGCGGAUCAUAUCCAUUAUGAAUAAUCAUUAUAAUAAUCAUUUUUCACUGCAGUUCUUCUGCCUCACCGUCUCAUUUCCAUGAGGUAAUAAUCAUAAAUGUUCUUCCUUGAGCUGCGAAACUCCGCUGCACUCAGUGAUUGACUUGUCGGGGCUCCCCCACAAACAAGCGGCUGCUGGAGGAGAGUUUGGAGAGUUGUGUCUAACUCGAGGUGGUGUCUAACUCGUCAAUGUGCCCAUCUUCACACUGUAGUCCAACAGCCUUGGAGCAAAAGGAUCAGGGGGGUUAAAUGAUUUAUCUAAGACAACAUAUACUUUAUUUCUUAUUUUAAAAGCUGUUGUAAACUGAAGUUUCUGCAUAAAUGUGGAUCUUUCUCCAUCUUUUAUGAUCAUAUUUGACCGUCUGUACACUCCAGUAAAAUAAUAGAGCAUUCAGAGAUUUUUGUCUACAUCCUUCUGCUGACCACUCUAUGGUAACAUAUAAUUAGGUUAUAAACCCACCAAAGUUUAGAUACUUAUUAUUCAUCAAUCAUCUCCCUCAAUAAAGUAAUAUCUUCAAGUUUUUAAUGAUUUCCCAUAACUGCAGCCAUCUUCUGUCAGUUCACAGAGGAUCUAAAUAUCAGGCUGUGCUGCGGUUGCACUCUUUGAAAACCCUCUGUGUAAAUGACCCCGCCCAGUCCGCCACUCCCAGAGUGAGUUCAGCUUCACUCCCUUCCUCCUUUCUUUACUCCUCACUCUGACAGUCAACUCUACUCUGCCAACCUGUCUGAACCCACGUCCUAGGGCCACGAUUUUUCCACUUAAGAGGCUCAACCGCUGUGUCAUUUCUUGACUCGAACCCUCUGAAACAUGCAACACAACAAAGACGUGCGCCAAUGCUUCAAGUACAAUCUUUGAAGAGGAGGAGAAAGGCAAAAACAUCUUAUAAAUCCUGAUAUCCUGAUUAUAACUUCAGCUUUUUCUCAUCUGUUUGGAAAACAUACAGUAGCACGGCUUUCUGUCAUCCAUCAUUUGACUCAAAGACUUCUUGAGACUUCUUGCUGUUUUUCUGUCCUGCCAUGAGUGAACUUGAUUGAACCUCAGAGGUCAGGUUCUGGAGUGAAACACCCCAUGCUCACUCCUCUUGUUGGAGUAACAAUGGUGGCCUUCAAGGUUAAGAAGCUCCUCUGAUGCAUGAUGAGUGUGAUCCUCCAUUUGUCAAGUUUUUAUCAUCAAGACUAGGGCUGGGCGAUACACUGAAAAUUCACUGAUACCAAAAUUUAUGUCAAUAACUGACAUCAUUUUGCCUGUGUCAGUAUAUUCUGUGUCAGAAAAAUAGAUAAAUAAAAGUUGUUUUUGGAUGUGUGUUGGUAGGCUACAGUCUCAUGUCCCUUUAAGACGCCGCCCUGCAUCAAAAAAUUGCAAUAAAUGCGUCCAGGGGAAUCAUACUGUCAAUAUAACUGCCACAGCCCCAUCUAUUGGCUAAACUUUUUUUGUGGAGUAGUUAUCGUCCAUUUAUCAUUAUCGAAGUGAACUGCUCAAUAUAUCGUGAUAUUGAUUUGAGGCCAUAUCACCCAGCCCUAAUUAAGACACCUCUAUCUGUGCAAAAACGCAAAUAUACAAAAAGUACAUUCAUGUUACUAGUUUGUGCAUCCUGUAGAAACACUGAGGAGCAAGAUGUUGGCGUCUGUACGGUCACAUGAUCCUUAAAUGAUCCUUAUCUUCAGAUUGAUUACACACUCAUUUUAAAAGCAAACAUGCUGCACCUUUUAGUAGAACUUCAGUCUCGCUUUAAUCAGACGCGGGACUUUUUCUUCUGCAUGCAGCUCUUUCCGUGUCAGUCUCCAGACACCUCGCACACCCCUGACCGGCUGCUGCUCUGCUGAAACAAACGGCUCUUCUCAUCCUCCUUAUUUUCCUCCUGUGAGGAGUCACCAGGUGUGACCCUUGAACUCUGAGCCAAGCCCAUCCUCCCACCCGUGCUGCAGGUUGUGUUAACAGAGGAUUCUGACAUUGUCUUUCCUCUCUUUACCUCCUUUUUUUACAGACUGCUCCUUAGUUUACAUGCUUGUAACAAUGAGACCCAAAAGCUCAGAACCACGCCAAAGAUGAAGUGACUGCAAGGACUACAAAUACUUUCUCUGUGCAUGAAUGUUUCACCCAGUUGGCGUCUUUAUUUCUUUUUCACCUCCGUCCCAGAGUUUCUUCUAAAAAUAAGAUGCAAAUUGAGUCCAAAUAGAGGCAGAUUCCCUCAAAAGUGGCCCCCCGCUGUUCUGGUCUGUUCUUCGUCUUAUACCUGCUGAUGAAUUAGGCCAAACAAACCGCCACACUCGGUCAGGGGGCUGAACCAUGCAUACCAGAUGAGGCCGUAAUGAGAGAGAGGAUUGAGUGGAGUGGAGUGGAGUGCUUGUUUGUGGAACAAGGUGGAAAGAAAAUGGGAGGGGAGGGGGGCGACUCCCUAUAAAUAUCAUCCAGGGGGUGUUUUGUCAGAAGGGUGUGUGAGUGGAGCGAGCAGGAAAAGGCCGAGAGAAGGUAACAGAGUGUGUAGUGUCCCGGCUUGAGGAGAGAGAGAGUGUGUGUGUGUGUGUGAGAGAGAGAGAGAGGAACUGAAAGUGAGCGAGGGAGGAAUCAGGCGUAAUUACAGACAAACGGCAAGUCAGGACGGUUUUAGCGAGGGAACUCCGUGGACUGGGGAGAGGGUGAGCGAGCGAGAGAGAGAGAGAGAGGGAGGCCGAGUGUGACUCAGAGAAGAGAUGUUUGUUUGCUAGCCCUGUGGUUGCUGCCCAACAUGGCAACCGCCCGCUCGCAGCAUAGCAACCACUCCUUCCACUCAUCCACCGCAGGGAGAUUCCUCCUUAAAACGUAUCAUUUCAAAGAAAUGGGAACCAGAUACUUGUCCUUAUCAUCGGCGUUACCGCGGCAACGAGGCGGGCUUCUCAGGUCAUGCAAAUGUAAAAGAAAAACUUGGAAACAAACUUAGAAACUGCGGUAACCAAAGUGUUACCGCUCCAGAUUUCUGUUUGGUGCCAAUUAGACAAACUUUACUGUAAAAAAAGACUGAAAUCACUUUUUUGGCGCCAAUAAAGUAAAAAAAUAGUUUCUCCCCCAUGUUGCAUUAGUUACUGAUUUAAAAAGUCGCCAAAAAUACAAGCUCUCAACCUCAUGAAAGUGAAUGUGGACCUACAAAAAAUCUAAAUCUGCUCAUGUGUUUGCUUAAAGCUCCUGUAAGACAUUUUCUGCCCUAUGACACUCGACGUCAUUAAAACGUCUUUUUUCAGGCUAAGUCACGUUGGCCCGUCAUGGCUGUAAUUUAGCCCAAGAAAUACGUCCAAAACUGGGCUUUAUUUAGACAGUCCAAAUCUAGAUGUUGUUUAGACAUAUGAAGACCUCUUUUCUACGUCUUUUCCACCACUUUUUGCCGGGUGGGUACCUGACAGAGCACACAACACAGCUCCAGGUACAGGUUCUUGUAAUAUCAGGCACUGACCACGGCAACUCUUUACUUGCAGGCCUCCCUUCAUGCAUGAUGAUCCAGAAUCCAGCAUCGCAUCUGGUCUUCAACCAUCCCAAAACUGCUCUUCACGUCACUUUCCAUCUCUCUCUACUCCACAUCAAAUUUAAAGCCUUACCUCUCUCUGAUAAAACUGCUGCAUAAACAACUCCUGCCCACCUGCAGCCCCUCAUGCAGGUCUACACUCCUGCCCGCUUGCCACACCCUGCCACAACAGGGUUCCUGGUGCUCCCAAAAGUCAAUAGCCUGACUCUUCUUCUCUGUUGUUCCUCUGUGUUGAAAUUAAUUACCGGAUUCAGCUCUUUAGAGAACAGCUGUGCCCUUACCCCAAAUUUUCACCGUAUGCGGAACGGCAGUGAAAAGGCUAUCAGCGCUGAUCGCUGCUGAUCAUUUCCAUUUUCCAUUUCACACCAUGCAAACGUGGUUUGUUUCUUAGAUAAAGAUAAAUAUUGCACUUACCCAUGGUUAAUUCUCAAUCUCCACUGUAGUGUCUGAUCUACUGGUCUGAACAGAAUGGAUUUCCUCCUUUGGAAGGACACAGUCUACCGCUAAUAUGGUUAUGUGCCUGUCUUUAUUGAGACAACUCAUCAUCGUAUGAUUUCAUAGGUUCUUGCGAUUCCUGCUGUCCGAAAUUCAUCUCACAUAGGAAUUAGCGGCCGUUCCAUAUGCGGUGGAAAUUUGGGGUUAAGCUCUUCUCUUCUUCUCUAUCGUCCCCAGUGGUAGAAUAACUGAAACAAGCGCUUUGAUGCAACAGUCCCUUUCUACUUCUGAGACUCUGUUUUGCAAAGACGGCUCUUUGUUAACAGCUCAGCACUUGGUACUUUGGUGCCUAAUGAUAAAACAGUUUUGAGAAGACGUUUCCAAACUCUGACUGAGAUUUGUGACCUCAUGAGCAUGUCUCUGAUCCAGCUCUCAUUGUUUUAUUCCAGCAUUCAAAACGUUAUGAUGAUAUGGUUAGAUAACGCUGAAGUGUGGAUAGAAAUAUUGAGUGAAAGCAAGAGCACAUAGAGGUUCAGGAUGGGGUAAAGUUUUAACGCCAACACUUUAAAGACUUUCUUGCAGGUUUUUUCAACUUUUAACCUUCAAAUAAAUCCUAUAAGGUAUAAAUCAAACAUUUGAUUACAGUAGGGGCAGUGUAUUUCAACAUGGCUGCUGUCCUCCUGCAACCUCUAUCUGGGUGUUUUUCUCAGACCGCGAAGUGCAAUAUUUGGAUAAAGUGAGACGUAUAUAUUUUUUGAGCCUUGGCAAAGAGGUUUAAUCAAAACCAACCACACUGAUCCAGUCUUUUGAUUUGUUUCCCCGGGUUUCUAAGAUCAUAUCUUCGCCCGACUUAUACGAGGAGUUUUGCUGUCCACAGGAGGUGAAACUUCUUAAAGAGAUAAACUCCUGCACAUGGAUCGGCUGGAGGAGUAUCAAAGUGUCUGGAGCACAGAGUGUGAGUGUGUGCAGACAUCGACAAACAAUGCAGCGCUAUAUUUGUGAAAGCAGACUGGGCCUCAUGCUCUGUCUUGAGGGCGAAACGUUGCCGCAAAGUAGCAUCAUUAAAACCCGAGAUUUCUGCCCCAACGUGUUAAAAGAAAGCUCUGUGCCAUUUUGAAACCUGUCCAGCCGUGGCCAUUUUGUGUGAAAGCAUCAUUCACAUCCCAGGCUUAGAUUUCUGUGGAAAACUACCAGGGAGGCAACGCAUGUGUGUGUGUGUGUACGUGUGUGUGUCCACGAGCCUCUGUGUCUAUUGGCUCGUGGCUUCCCGGCUCACCACACCCUCCAUGUGUGUGUCAGGUGUGGAAGUACCUCAGGAAUGAGAAUAAGUCAGCAGAGUGAGAGGAGGGAACUUUACACACUCGAUAAAGAAUGUGCUUUUGAAGCUUUAUCUGCAGCAACAUUGAUCCAGUUUGAUGGUUUUCUUGUUCGUAUCUCAUUCUAGCUGCACGGGCAACAUAGAGGACGGUUUAGUCAGCAUUUCUGUUGGCAUAAACCCUCAGAAAGACAUACUCUCAGUGCAGCAGAUGGUUGUCACAAUGGCAACAUGGACGCGAGCUGUGAGCUAAUUACCAAAUUACUAAUUACUGUUCGAAAUGUGGACUCGUCAGUCCAUCUCAGAUGAGUUCAGGUCCAGCUGAUAUCUGGCUCAGGCUUUGUGUGGUGGAGUUUGAACUUGUACUUGUAGAUGUAGAGACGAACGGUGUGAACUGACAAUAGUUUUUUCUGUGUUCCUGAGCCUGAUGGGGGUUUUUAAUAGAGUGCUAUCUGAGGGGUCAAAGGUCAUGGGUGUUCCAUGUUGGUUUUGUGAUGAUGUUGGUUUUGUACUCGGAAGUCAGAAUUUCCGAGCUCUGAGUCGAAAUUCCUCUGGAACGCACCCCUGAAGUCGGAUUUCCGACUCAGAAAGUCGGACGAUUCCCACCAACCCUAACUUGACGACAACGUCAUAAUCCAAGAUGGCAGCGCAGUGCAUCAACAGUAAAGAUAGACAAUGAAAGCUCUCAUUAUGUGUUAUUUAUUAGACCUUCUGUUUUGUUUUUGUGAAAUUAAAUAAGUGGUUUAUGUUGUGCUGCCCAACGUCUAACUGUGAACACGGUGCAAUGGUGUUUGUAAGUAUGAAAUACUGUGUUCUGCUUUGUUUACACCUGGUAUAGCUAACGACAACUACCAACAGCUGACAACCGCUAAUGACAACUGACAAUUAUCAACAAUAGCUAACAACGGCUAACUGCAGACGUCCAUCUUGGUUUUCCAACUUGUUUACUGGAAUGCCGUCAACUCGGUUGUAACGUCAUUCCCAGCUCCAACAUCCGACUUCCAAAGUAACUGGAACACAGCAUUGGGCCUUUCUCUGGAUUUUCUGAAGAAUUGAUGAUUUUUAUGGACCGUAGAUAAUAUAAUCCCUAAAUUCCUGCAGUUGUACACGUAGAAACAUUGCUCUUAAAUGGUUGGACUGUUCACUCUCGCAGUUGUUGACAAAGUGGUGAACCUGGCACCAUCCUUGCUUGUGAAGCCUGAGCCUUUCAGGGAUGCUUCUUUUAUAGCCAACCAUCAUACUCACCUGUAUCCAAUGAACCUGUUCACCAAACAGGUAUUUCUGGAGUUCUCCCAGUUUUUUGUUAACCCUGUCGCAACUUUUUAGGAAUGUGUUGCAGCAUCAACUUCAAAAUUAGUGAAUAUUUGCCAAACACAACAAAGUUGACCAGUUUGAGCAUUGAAUAUCUUGUCUUUCAUUUAAAAUGUUCAGCAGAUCGUUGUAUUCUCUUUUCAUGCACCGUUUACACAAUGUUCCGACUUUAUUGGAAUAUGGAUUUAUAUUUCAGCAUUUUUGCCUGCCUGUGUCCUGGCAGGUUUCCUCCAGGUGCUCUUUUUACUCGUGAAGGAAGAAAAACACGCAUGACAAGUGAACUGGAAACUCAGAAUUGCCCACAGCCAUGAAUAUCUUUGUCUUUGUACUUGUGUGAGGAACCCAUCAAGGAUGUUUUCCAGGGUUUAGCUAGUGCAUGCUACAUCGAGCUCCACUCAGCCCUGACCUUUGAAAGUAUAUCAACACAGAAAUUAUGGUUUACGUGUACUAAAGCCUUUUUUUCCCAUUCUUUUAUACUCCAUAAUGUUUGUUAAAUCUCCUGUUAAUAACCUCACAGUAUAGAUAUGAUGAGCAGAAUGACAACACAUCUGUCAGGAAAAUUAUUCUGAUGCGUUUGCUAUUUUUAUCGGUUGCAUAGUUGCACAAAUCUUGUUUUUGCCAAGUUGAAAAGCCAAGCCCUCACAUUCCUCUGCCUGCUGGAGGGUGAUGGAGCAUACAGGGCUGAAAAAAUAAAACGAAGAGAGGAGAGGAAAGAAAGAAAGAAAGAGAGAGAGAGAGAGCACAUCUUUAAACGGUUAUUCAAGGCUUCCAGUCAGAGCUGCUGUGGUUUGGGAUGUGUGGGCUUGUGCAGAUGUGUACGCCAGUGUCUUGCAGGGGAUGUGCUGAUUCUCAUGGAGAAGCGGGGUGUGUCAGACCCAGCCUGUAUUUGUGUCAGCAUGAGUAAGGCUUCAUGAUAAGAAGGAGUAGGAACUUCCUGAGAAAUGGGUUGUGUUUUAUGGAAUCUUAAGAUAGGCAUCUAACUCUAAAAUGUGUAGAUCUUCCACUGAUUUGUUGGUUGUCAGUUUUGAUCACUUUAAUAGUCAGGGUUUUAACUUUGUUAGUGGAGAAUUUCUGCCCUGUUCUUACAAGAAAUUAGCUCUUCAUUAACCCAUUCAUAGACACACCUGUCACUCAAAAGUCAAUCUUAACCCCCUACAUUUCCAUCCUAUGGAGUUCCCCAAGGCUCAGUGCUCGGUCCUCUUUUGUUCUCCAUUAAAAUGCUCCUAAUAGCCUUGCACUUAAAGAGAAAAAAGACCUUGAACUUCAAAACUGUCAUAGCAAAUCAUAGAUAAAAUGUAUGUUUUGUUUUUUUUUUUCUCACAUUGUCGACAUAAUUUCUGGGGGCAACGGGACACCACAACCUUAUAUAAUGUUUUUUUGUUUUUGUUUUUUUUCCUAGGCCCUAAUCCUCUUCCGUUGUCUACUCUCUAAUCAUGUAGUGGUAAGACUUUGAUGGAUAUUACAACAGAUAUGACAUUUAAGUAUCUCGUUGACAUCCAAAUAAUUCAUCAAUGAAUUAUCUUUUUUAUUUUUACCAAAACUUUAGCGAUCAAGUUUCAAGGGAAAACAGGACGAAAGACGAGCAAAGGCUAAUCACUGGCAACGUUGAGCAGCUAAUGUCACCUGUGGAUGCUUGCAUUUAGUGUCAAUAUUCUCUUAAACCUACUUUUUUUUUUGCCAGUUUGAAACACUCAAACGAUAUCAAUAAUUGAAACACAAUUCCCAUCAUAUCUUUUAAAUGUGGAGUUCCUCAAGGCUCAAUCUUUGGUCCCCUCUCAUUCUCCUCUUUAAUUCUUCUGCCUGAGAUAAAAAUUCCGAAUCAAAACCAUGUUUGGUAUUUAUUAUAACCUUCACAUCCAAAUAAGCCUUCAGGCAACUUUUGCAGUAUUUUGACUCGUGCUAUCUGCCUCGUUUUCCUAGAAACCAAGAACAAAAAAGAUUAGUGACAAUGUUAGGCCAAGAUAUCAAUAUUCUGUUUCAGUAAUAGAUUUUCAAGUUUAAAACAAUUUCACUAAACUUAAUGUCAAACAAUAUUAAUUGUACUUGUCUUUUCCAGAAAAUAAGCUCAGACUGAACAUCUUAGUGAGCAUGUUGUGUGGUGCCUGAAUGAACAUGCCCACUUAAUGGCUUGAUUGUGUCAUUAUACAAAGAAGAACUUAGACGUAGUGCAGAGUAUCUCUUGGCAAAAGUGUGGCCAAUAACAACAGUAAAGAAACUUGGCUCCGUGUAAGUUUGUAGUAUUGUGAAAACCAGCAGCUGCUUCAAUGAGUGACUUGAUAACACACACAUGACCUUUAAUUCAGGUGCCAAAAAAGUACGUCUGAGGUUCAGCUGCCUGGAGAACGAAGGCUGACAUCCACACUAGAUAGCAGUAUUAUUGGAAAGCAAGUCAGGACAUAGUUUGAUGGACAAAGAACUCGCGUCAUACCAUUUUUGAGUGAUGCAAAUAUGAACCACAGUCUGAGAGAGCCAGGAAUACUUUGUUUCAUUACAAUCAAAUCGUAAUAGCUUGAGUUUAUAUCAUCAAAUGUUGCUCAGAAGUUUUUCUUUUCUGAUGCUCCAUGUGAUUAAGAUGUCAGGUUUAAUUAAUAGAAAAGCAAACACCUACACUGUUAUUUUCAUUCCUUAAAAACAGUCAGAAAAAAAAAACAGUGCCAAUUGUUCAGCUCUGGCAUACUCAACACUACAAACAGUGUACCAGUGUGAUACUGUGAAUGCAUGACCUGACAGCUGCUCUGCAUACCUUCCAGCGCUGUCAUCCAUCACGUGAUAAGAAACCGCAAAAUUACUUUAAAGGAGGGGGAAAAACAUCAGUGUCUCUCACCUGGAUGGAGCCAAACACUCAUCACCUAAGAGAGUAAUUCUUUGUCUGCCAUCCAUGGGAGGAAAUUACAUCCCUUUGGCACAAGGCGUGAAAUCUCUAUCUGUCCUUGGAUGACAGGGUGUAACCAAAAGAUUAGAGGGGAUGCAGCGCAAAUGAUGCUGUUGCUUGUUUGUCUUUGCUCAGCAGUGACUUUGUAGUUUCACUGAAUACUGACAAGCUAAGUCAUGAGUGCUUAUUUCCGCCUUUGCUUUUCCUAAAGCGUGAGGUAAUGUUUUCCAUUUUCAAGUCAAAAAGCCCCCCAGGCUGAUGACAGAAGAGGAUAUUUGGUUGGUUAAACUACCAGCCUAAAGGGUUGGCAUCCUAAAAAGGCUGUUCAAAUGUCUUCCUGCCGACAAUCACGUAAUGAAAUCUGCAACUCUGUCUUUCUAUACCUCUGUUGGAUAAGUGCUUUCAUUCAAAGCUAUACGCAGAGAUUAAAUUGGGCCGUAGCCCUCCAGAACUCAACUCCGCCUCCUCAGCUCGUUAUGCUUCACUCAGUGCGUUUACAUGCACAGUUUAAUCGGACUAAGCUCUUAAUUCGUGUUUUUGUUUUGCCGAAUCAAACAUCUCUCCUUGUCCGCGUAUACAUGCAGCUGAGAAAAUCGAAUUACUGACAUGAAUGUGUCCCAGUCCCCAAAACUAGGGGGCAAUAUGGGUCUUCUCAGUAGUGCUGUUUCUGGUUGACCCAACAACAACAGCAGGUUUGUGCCAGACGUCAGAAUUGGCUACCACUUUCGCUGGGCAUUUUUGAGCGAGAAGAUGGAGUAUCGUAGAGCGUUGUUUUUGUCGUACAUGAUGUACACGCUUCUAUUUCUGCAGAUGAGGUGCACACUACUCCUCUUCUCUGGUGUUUCUGUUCUGGGGUUACAGAGGCGUGGCGCACACACGCAUGCAUUGUCCAAUCGUACUCUGACUGCGCUGGUUAAAUGGUGGAGAAUUGAAUUCCAAUUACGUUAUCUGGGUGUCGUAAUCAGAGUUCUCCGACUCGAAUAGGAGUUCUCUAACUCCGAUUAUACUCAGACUAAGGUGUUUACAUGCGCUUCAGCUGUCCGGUCUUAAUCGGAGUACGGCAAUAAUUCAGUUUUCUCGAGUGUCAUGUAAACGUACUGAAUGUUUCAUCGUAAUCAUGGGUGUAGCUACCAAAAAUCAUUCAUUUAAAUCCCCAUCAAUACAUCAGCCUGUUCACUCAGCGCUGUGUCAGAGCUUCAUUACUGAAUCCAUUCUGCUCAUUUAUUGAGUUAAAACCUGAACCAAUGUCCACGUUUUCACUGCUACGGGCAUCUUCUCGCAUACCUCGCAAGUGCACGCACAGAAGGUGGAUGAAAUAACUGUCACAGCAAAAUGUUACUUUGUUAAUUUACUGAAACUAAAUGUCUGUAUUUUUCACCUUUAUGUUUCUGUGGUAAAGUCUCUACAGAGCUGAUGCUACGUGAGCAAAUUGUGAAAAGAUGAGGAGGGCGAGUAGUUUUCACUUGAUUAACCGCCGUUCUCAUUAGCUAACCGUAGACAAGCUAAUGCUAAGCUAGUGUUACCCAUUAGUCAAGUCAGUCCGCCACAGUCUCUCACAGAAAAAUAAAGUUACAUCGCCAACCCACCAACCCCCUCCCGCUGAGUAAAGAAGGACUCUUCCUCCUUUAACCACUGGCUAUAUGUAUGAUGCAUAAUUUGUGUUCCAGUGAGAAUAGACAUUUACCGAUUGAAACUGUAGACCCCCAAAGAGGUGGACAACUUGGCUGCUUCCACUUUUACAAACACAUUAAACUCUCAGGUGUAAAAGGCCUCGGGUUCAUUUAUGUGUCCGCUAUAAACCUUUGCGACGAAUGCAUCUUGAAACUCUGAUCACUGCAUUCACUAGACCUGUCAGGAUGUUUAGUAGCUUAUCAAACCAGCCAUUAAAAAUUCACUCUCUGCAGGCAGAGAGAGAUACUGAUUCACAGCUCUGUGCUCACAUCCUGUGUGACAGGAACACACCUGCAGGUUUAUCAGAGUCUAAUGCGACCGGAAAAUGCUCCCAUCAGCUUUUAUGGUGUUUAUUCUGUAACCGUCAUGGCAGCAGAUGGUCCUGCUGCUCUUCCUACAAAACAAUAGGAAAUGAUGUCACUGAGACCUGAGUAAAAACCUGUGUGAAAGCAGCUGUUUGUGGUUUGACUUUUGAGAAAGUUUGUUUCAGUAAAGAGAAGAGGGAGCCUGUCCUGACCCUGACUGUAAAAAGGUCAAGUUUGAUCACUGCUGAGAGCAGAGCGACAGGUGACACUGAAGUUCACUCCCAGACAGAUUCAGGCUAUUUUGGAAAAUGGUUUGAGGGGCUCUUAAGCUUGUUGUGAAAUUUUUCCACUGCCAAGAACAAAUGUGACAGUCAGAGCCUCAGUAUGCCGGGGCCUGUCAGGACAUUCCUCCCUCUGAAACCGGUAUCCCUCUUUUUUCCCCUCAUCUCUCCAUCCAUCCACCAAAAUGAAGGCUGAGGUGCAGAUACCGCCGAAUUGAUCAUUUAACGCUUCAUCUUAGAGUCCAGAAGGCUGUCAUGUAGUUUCAACGCUCAAUGAUGUUCAUUUACUUUCUUUAAUAAAUACUGUGUUUUGUUUAGGAUCAGACCUAUUCUGUGUUAAAAUGACUAAAGUUCAACUCAUUCGUUUUCUAUCAAAUUUGUUUCUACAGGAUAAAAAAUGUUGAACUGUUUGCAUAUUUACGUUAUUCUGACAUUUAUUGCAAAAUCAGGACAGAUAUCAUGACAUGAAGAUUUAUACUUGCUUUAUAUUAUACUAUAAUCCAAAUAUAUAUAUAUAAACUCAGCAAUUUGCCCAUUUGGUUGCUCCUGCUUGUGUUAUUAAAGCAUGCGGAGUCAUAGAUUGUGAAUUCUAUCAGAUGUGCAUGUAAAAGUGACAGAUCAGAUCCUGCUGUUUAUGCAUGAAGGAAAAGGUCAUAAAAAAAGAUCAAAUCUGAUCCAAUCUGCUCGUCACCUCUCUGAUUUUGAUCCAUUUUUAGAGUUACUCUUUCAUUAUGGCGGCAGAUGAGUGAAAAUCCUCAUAAUGUAGAAAUCUUUCAUGUUUUUUUGUAUGACAUGCACCUAAAAUGUAAAAAAAAGUGCGGGCCAGGACUUAAACUUUAACUUUAAUUAAUUACAGAAAUAUUAUCUCUUUUAAAACAUAAACGCAUUUUAAUCGCACCAACUGUAUUUUUGCACUGCAGAACAUUUCUCACUGGAAAUAAUACUCACUCUUUUCAGGUCAAAUAUUUGUAUGCGAUUAAUUGCGAAUAAUUGAUUAUAAAGCCUCUGACUUAUUAGAUUAAUUUUUUAAUCGAGUCCCAGCUCUAAAAAGAAGAUUCUCACUGAUAAAGCAGCCUUCAUCCCGGACAAACAAAUACAUUUAAAAGUUAUGAAAAUGUUUUAUUAUUAUUAUUAUUUUUUUAAUCUUUUUUUUUUUGUUUAAGCUCCAUAAUUUGUUAUUUAAGCACAGUAAGAGGAACAUCCAGCAGUAGACAGGGUUUUGAAGCAAAGCGUAUGUUUGUGAUUUGUUUCGUUUGUAUAAUCUGUAUAAAACUAAUAACAAUAUUAUUGAGUAAAAAACGUUUUAAAAACUCCUUAUAGCACCUUUAACUGACUUCAGUGCCACAUAUGUUUAGCUCGAUCAGUUUCAUUCUAGUUUGUAAAGCCUGCUUCAAAAUUGGUUUUUCCUGCUUCUAAUCAUAACUGUAUGGUUAUAAUUAGUGUCUGGAUGUUAUUAGGCAACUCAGCCACAUCUCGGCGUGCACACACAGAGCAGGGUUGUGUUGAAUCUUAUGAAAUAGACUUUCAUGCUAAUUUGAUUUAGUGCGUCUCAUAUGCAACAUGCCAAAAAAAAGGACACUGGAUGCAAUUUGUAGCUUUUAAAAUGGAAUCAAGCCAAAAAAAAGUGAAAAACAAGGAGUAAAUCAAUAAUUUCGAUGUGCUCGUAACAAAAUAUUUGCAUGGUAAAGCUUCAACUUCAGACUCAACAAAGAGGGGCCUCCUCUUUCCUCAGGUUACCUCACCCUGGGGUGAUGAUGAUGAUGAGGGGGUGUGUAUUUGUGGCAUUUCUGACUGUGAGGAGUGUAUGAGGACAAUAACAUCAGGCCUAACACAGACAGGUUUAUGAUUGGAGUUAUCGCUCGUGAAGUUGCCAGGAAAAUUGGAGCCCUGAGUGAACGGAAGUCCCUUUUCUUAAUGGUGAUAAAAACAAGCUUGAAUUCUUCACAAAUCAGUGAAGGUCACACAGGCCUGUGCAUGUUAUACUCCCGUCUGUACAUUCUCCAUAUGUCCUUUUAUGCAUUGUUCCUCUUAUACCAUGAUACUUUAGUUAGAUUUUCUUUCUCUGUGGCAUUCGAGGCCGCGCUUUGAGUCGGCUCUGGUCGUUUCUCUGCUUAAUAGAGCAGCUGCUUUGUGCCAGAAGGCAAUAUUCCUUAUUACUGGAAAGAAUUUUGCAUGAGUCACUCAAAAACGACAACUUAAAAAGAGAAAAUAGCCCUCAGUGAUGCCAGACAUCAGAUUGGUUCUGCCCGCCGUUUUCGUCCACAAAAUAUUUUCGAGGCUCAUUUGAUGCAUGAAGGCUGCGAGAGCUACGGAUUUUUCCUUUAGCUGCAGGAGUCAAACCUGUGACCCUCGGGGGUAUAGAGGACUCAGCAAACCUGUGGAUCAUAAAAACAAGACUCCCCUCGGCCGCCUCAGUCCUGAGCUGACAGGAAUAAAUACACACAGAACACAGAGCGCUCUGCAGACAUUCACAUGCAGAAUCAUGACAGGAUUUACGUUACGCAGACAACCUCAUACAAACACUGAAGAUAAAUAUACUGCAGAGCACAUAAGUCAGGAGUGUGUGUGUAUGUGAUCCCACACAAAUAUAGACACACUCGUAUUUACACACAGACCUGCACACAGGCUCUGCUUUUAUGUUCUCAUCUUCAUUUGUACCUUUUUUUAACUUAAAGACAAAUAAAAUAAUAACAAAUUCUAUUAAUAAAACUCAAAGAUGCGUCUUAGUUUAAGAGCUUUCCACACCAACUGUAAGUGACUCUGUGUGUUUAUUUUUUAAAGUACAGGCUCAUUUCAGGCUCAUAUCUACUCAAUCUGGGUCUCAUUUAUCAACUUCUUUCACACACGCUGUUCCUGGUUUGGCUCUAAUCCGAGUCAAAUCUGUGAUUUACUCUUGGCGAAAUAAUCAUGACGUCAAUAUUUGAGUGAUUUAAAAUGGAUAUCCUUCCAGACACACAAUGCUCCGAGUGAUUUUCCUUCAUUAUCUGGGAAAUAGACUCUUUAAACAACAGUAGUAGAAGUUUAGUAGAGGGAUUUUUUUCCAGCAUGUCAUGUAUUAAAGGGACAAGACACUAAAAAUUGAAAACUUUUAUUUGGGUUGGAAAGUUGCUAAAACUUUUGCUUUAGUUUGACUCAACCUGCAAAUUAACUUCUUUCUAUGUAGGAUGACCAUCCGUCGUCUUUUACCAAGACAUGUCCUCUUUUUUAGGGGGCUGUCCAGGUUUAUCUGGGGAAGUUUAUAAAAUCCUUCAAAUAUCUGCAGUUUUGUAUAUAAGCUUCUAUUUUGUGUCACGUGGACUUUCUGAGUUAGAACCUGUAAAAGACACUCAAUCCACCCUGCAUAGUUGUGUCCUCUUUUUGGGAAGUCAGAAUAUGGUCACCCUAUUUCUAUGGAUCUCCUUUAGACUGACUUUGCAGGCUCUGUAGUCUAACUACUGUAGAUCCAUUUGCGUAACCCCAAAAGAAAGAUGUUUUUAGCAUCUUAAUGAAUCUAAUCCAUGGUUGCACCAUGUUGUUGCCCGUACGUCUCAUGGUUCCCACCCCAUGUCACCAUAUAAUGCAAGUUUAGUGGGGAUUUUUACACUCACCCAUGAACACAGUGCAUAGCUCUGUUCUGCAUUUAGAUUAUUUACAGCGGUGGUUCCCAAACUCUUUCAGCCGUGCCGUUCUUUGGAGGAUGAAAGUGCUUAAAUUGUCUCAUGUCUAUCUUGUUUGUUCAGACGUACAGAACGUAGUACUGUUACUGUACAUAAAAACAUGAGAGUAACUUCAGUUUUGUCGCUCGUUUUAGUUUGAUUGUGCCUCUCUUACAUAACCAUUUUUUCAUUAAAUCAGAUAAAUCCGACAACUUUCAGCACAUUUGACUGUUGGAAUGCUAAAAACAUCCUGACACACAGAAAGUGAAGGAAAGUCUGGGUGUGUCCCUAAACACACAUCUACGCUAAAACACACACACACUCACUCACAAGCAGACAGACCAAUUAUUAAGGCGCAAGUACACCUUCUCCUUAUGUUCCUUAAGGUGUUACAAACCAAAGAGGUGAGGGUCCUUUGGGUGUUAACAGGAAAUCCCUGUGUGUGCUGUAAGUGUGCUGAUAUCAUUGUUCCCCCUAGAAACUCUCGGGAUAAUACGCAUUUGUUCCCAUGAAGUCAGAGGAAGCGUCCCACACCGCUCUGCAUCAGAACGCAGAGUCUCAGAGGAGUUCUGGUCGGGAUGUCCUGGAAUGUGGCCGUUUGGUGGAUUAAUUAAAUAUUAACCUGCAAGAUAUAGAAGCUCGAAAGGCCAGAAAGAGGUCAGCCAGCGGGGCUCCAAGUGGAGCAGAGGCAGCAUUUUUAACAAUAGUAGAGUUUAAAGUGAUAUUUCAAGCUACACCAGGAAGAAGAUUGUAAAAGUUAAAGGCCAUUUUGAGUGGUGCUUCUUGGCUCAACUGAUCAGUGUGAAGGUCAAGUUUAAGUACGACUCAACUUCUAGUUACACCAACUUUAUUUACACUUUCUCUUUGACAAACUUUCACUCCUUGGGUAUAACCUUCUUACAGCACAAAAUACCUUCAAAUUUAUGAAGUCUAAGGAGUUAAGGAGUUCAUCAGUUAUUUGGCUCAAAACAAAAUCUCUUUUGACACUUAACAUUACGGGCCGUAAAUCAUUUCGUCAGUGGGCAGAUCCGACCAAUGAAUUUUGAAAGUAGGAGUUACACUAUUUAGAAAUAUCUUAUCUUCCCUCCGAUGGGCUCAUUUGCUGUUGUAGGUGACACAGAUGUAUCAGGAGAAGCGAGAUACUUUUUAAAAUCUUGUUAAAAGACACUUGCGCUUCCCUCAUCUCGAUCAACAUCUACUCCUUUGUCAUUAGGAGUUCCCCAGGGUUCAAUGCUUGGUCCUCUUCUAUUCACCUUCCGCACACUCUCUCAGUGAAAUCAAACACAAACGUGGUCUUCCUUUGCAUUGUUAUGCUGAUGACUCUCUGCUCUUUCAUAACCAGUCAGUUGGGAACUAAGUCCUCCAGACUCUGGUCCCUGGUUAAAGUCCUGCAGUAGAAUCGUGUCUUUUGAUUGGAGGGGAAAAGUAUGUGUUGGUUGUAAAAAUCAUCCGUUUUUUUCAUCUGGAUGGACUCUGCACAUCUGUCCCAAAUGUCGAGUUAAAUUUUCAACAAGUAACUGAUGUUUCCUGUUUGGGCCAAAACUUUUAAACAGACUGAUUGACUAACAUCUGCCUCCUUAUAAGGCUCUGUCACUGGCUGAGCAAAGAUCUUGUUAAAACCUCAUCACACCACUGGCAUCCAAACUCAAACACAAACCAAAAGCAAUAACUUCCUCUGCUGCUCUCUCUCUUUCACACGCUCACAUUCUCUCAUGUCAACACCGUCCUCUGUCCCCGCCUCACCCUCAGGCCAGCCGGGUCUCCCCUCCCUCACCGAACGCUUUUCAGUCUGAGCCGCCCUGUGUGUGUUAAUCCUGGAGUAUUGUGGUGUUGCAUUGUCACCCUGAUCGCUUGCUGGGAUUCUGCUUUGCUGUCCUGACCUACUUUUUUUUUUUGUCUCCAAAAGUUGUGUCCAGGGCCUCGGUGUCUAAACAAAAGAGGGGACUGUUUACAUGUUGCCCAUCAACGGGCAGGAUGAUGAAGCUGCCACACUAACAAAUGAGAUGCAAAGUGAAGGACGGUGUGCAGGUUGGCUUUGGAGAGGGACAACCAGAAGUCCUCUCAAGGAAAGCAGUUUAUUAGUUUAGUCAUGGGUAGAGCUGAGAUACUAUCAUUGACGAUUUAUUAACACAGUAACAAAAAAAUAAAACCAG